rnacentral:lncRNA from 1 species
CGAGAUAGCAUAAGUAGUAGUAGGAAGCAGCUCUUAUUUGUGGCGUCGGUAUACAUCAUACUAGGUAGAUGGUUCAAUUGGCAUGGAUGGGUGGUGGAGCCUUGAAGUGCUUGUGAUGGGGAGCCCACGGCUUCUUCUCAGGAGUUGGUGGCUUCUUGUAUGGAGUUGAUGGAGGUGUUUCUACUGGAGGGUGGCCAGGGUAGUGACCCUGGGGUGGUGAAGGUUCUUUUGUCGGUGGUGGCCUCACUAUUAUUGGCGGUAGAGUUGGUGGCUUGGGCGUUGGCGGUGGUCUCACUACUCUUGGGGGUAGAGUUGGUGUCUUGUGUUUUGGUGGUGGAGGUGGCUUAACAGGAGUUGGUGGCUUGUAUUCUGGGGGUGGUUUCUCCACCGGAGGUGGCUUAUAAACUGGAGUUGGUGGCUUGUAUUCUGGGGGUGGCUUCUCCACUGGUGGUGGCCUGUAAACAGGGGUUGGUGGCUUAUAUUCUGGGGGAGGCUUCUCCACUGGAGGCGACUUAUAAACAGGGGUUGGUGGCUUGUAUUCCGGGGGUGGCUUCUCUACGGGAGGUGGCCUGUAAACAGGGGUUGGUGGCUUCUCCACCGGAGGUGGCUUAUAAACGGGGGUUGGUGGCUUGUAUUCUGGGGGUGGUUUCCCCAGUGGUGGAGACUUGUAAACAGGAAGAGGUGGUUUGUGCUCAUAUGGGGGUGGCUUGUGGUCAUUAGCAAGUGAGGGAGUGGUGAGGACCACCAAUCCAAGGAACAACACGAGUGAGCAAGCAGAAGACAUGUUUGGGCUCUGGUGAUGCACAAGUAGAAGAAAUGGGAACCAUUUAUAAUGCUUCGAGACCUUGGUUAGCACCAAAAUAUGUCAAAAUCUUGAUUACUUCAUUUCAUACAUAGAUUUAAAAUUAUUUCAAUCAACCAUGAUCCUUAAUUUUCUGGGUGGUCCAUAAAUGUAAUGGGGUCAAUUUGGGACCUAACAAGCUGAGAAGUUUGACAAUGCUGCAAGGCUUCAUCCGAAAGUCCGGGGAAGAAUAUUAGGAGUUACACUCCGUUUCCUUUUUUGGGUGCAUUUUUCUCCUUUAACAUUCUAUUCCCUUUUACAUUAGCAUUUGAUCUUAGCUCAUUUCAAGUACAAGUUUCUUGAACCCUAUACCAUUGUCAAAGUUGAGUAACCAUCUCUACUUUGCUCAAGAAACAUAAAAGACAAUGACAAUAAAGAAAAAGGAGAGAGACCAUACGUGACUUGGUUUAUAGGUGGCUUUGUGUUGACAUUUGAGUAUGGAAGCCGACAUGCAUCUUAGCUUCGAUUUUAAUUAAAUUUGUACAUUAGUGUCUGUGUCAUUCAUUUUGGUAUAAAAGGUCUCUUGAUUUCGUAAGUUUGGUAAGAACCGUUGAAAAUAGCAGUAGCAGCACAUGGUCCACUUUCUUUCACAAAAUAAUUUUAAAAGUUUAGAAGCAUAGGAGGUAACAUUAGUGGCCUUGUGGCUCAGCCACGAGUACUAUGUGGUGCUCGAGAAAUUGAGUUUAAUUUCCUUCCGAUAGUUCAUGAUAAGGUCCGUCACUGUCCUGAGACAGAUUGCGUUUUUUCUUUUUUCCUUUUUUAGUGUUUUAUUGACUAGCUAGGUGUGACUUUUCCUACUUUAAGGCACGAGGCAGAAAAGAAACUGGGAUUUAGUGCUUAAGAAGGCAAAUUUAAUUCGAUUUGGAUCUAAAAUUUGCCAGCAACAUGAGAUUUUCCAGCCUAUCGUUGCUCCACAUAUAGACAAGGCACUUGUAGAAGUGGCUUGUUUGUAGCCAUUCCCGAUAUUUGGACUCACUUGAUUCACCGGACACUUUGAUAAAAUUUAAUAUUUAUUAUUUAAUAAUUUAAAUUGAUUUAAAAUUAAAUUAUACCGAAGUUGUGAUUUAAAAAUUAUUAUUUAAUUCUUACUUUUAAAUAUGAAGAUUAUUUGAUAAAAAUAAUUUAAAAUUUAUUAUAAAUUAUCAAAUUAACAUAUUUAUCCUUAUAAAUUAUAAUUAAAACAGAAAAGGUCAAAUGAUUUGAGUAUCCAUAGAUGUGGUAAAAUAAUAAAAAAGAUUAUAAAAACAAUUAUGAUAAAUAAAGAUAAAAAGUAAAAUGAAUAUGUGAAUUUAAAGAAUAAAUUAAUUAUUUUUAUUUAUUACUUAAAAUUAUUUUUGACUUUAAAUUAUAUUAUUAAAUUAUUUUACCAAACAUACUUAAUUUAGUUAAUAAUUUAAAUUUAAUUUAAGUUAUUAAAUUGAUUCACCAAAUACCCACUUAAUCAAAGACUGAAGUAUACAUUAUUUGGCCAAAUGCAGCUAUUGAAAUUUAACUUUUUCCAAACUUAUUCAUUUUGUGGAAAUAUUUUUAGAAAUGAUUUUAAAAAUGCACUAUUCUGUGUGUUGAUUUUAUAUUUUGGCAUUAAUCCAACAUAGAAAACGGUUCUUAUUUUCGCUGUUAAAUAGGUACCAGAUCCUUAAUUAGUGCCGUGAAUCCGGCAGCUUCCAAUGAGUAAUUUGGACUUGGGUAUUGACAAUGUGUGGCCAUGCUUCUACUAUUUUAUUAUUCUUGAAACAUAUAUGAUAUAUUGGACUUUAUACAGGGAAAAAAAAAAAAAAAAGUCUUCACCAAAAAUGAUUCCUCCUAAAAAAUAGACUCCACAAACUAGGUUUAACAGGAAAAUGAUUCUAAUCUAGUAGUUUCCAGCCACAUGAGCAUUUACGUAACAAUAGUAUAGUUGAUAACGACUUUUAUUUUAUUUAUUUUUAAAUAGUUAAAGGGAUAAUUUUUGAGCUUAAAUUUUAUUUUUUUAUUUAGAAACAUUUUACUUUAUUUUUUAAUCAUAAUUCUAUUAUAUUAAUGUUUUAUUUUCUAUUUUUUAAUAUAUAAGGAGAUACUAAAUUUAUGUGAUUAUUUUUUAAAAAUUUAGUAUAUGAAAUUAAAUAAUUGGAUAUAUAUACAUAUAUCAUAUAAUGUUUUUUAAGUGUGAUUUUUGAACUUUUUAGUCAUUUUAUAAGUUUAAGCUUUUGAUUUUUUUUUUUAAACUUUGGUAUUUUUUAUUUUAUAUAAAACUAUUUUGAUUUAAUUUUAUUAAAAAAUAUUGGUAUUAUAAAUUAUUGUAUUAAUUAUUUUUUUAUAUUAUAAUGUAACUGGUAUAUACUAAAAAAUGUAUGCAAGUUCAAUUUAAGUUUCAAAUUAAAAAAUUUCAUUUAAAUAUUUAAUAACUUGUUCAUAAUAAAAAAUUAAACAACAUAAUACAAAUGAAAAGAAACAUAAAAGAAAAAGGAAAAAAUGGUCCUCUCUGUGUGUCACAUUACUAGGUCAUCCUCUUUUUCUAUGACCCUUACAAUAGAAUGGCAUAUUUGUCAAAUCUACUUAUGAAAGUUGGAAUGUUUCUACAUGUGUAGGGUCCAUUGGAACUAAUGGAGGAAAGGCUUAACGUCUAUGUAAAUCACAACGUUGCCUAGGUGGGCAUAGAUCUAGUUGUGUAACAUGAGAUGGUGUGAGAGUACAAUAUAUGCAUUGUAGUCUCUAUGGGAAGAGAGAUAGGUAAUGGUAGGGUGGUAGACGGUAGGGUGAUCUCUAAUAUAAUGACAUUUGAUGUGGUGGCUUCUAAGAGAGGAGAUAUAAGAGAUGGUAGAAUGACAUUUGGUGUAAUGGUCUCUAGUGCAAUGACAUGUGAUAUGGUGACCUAUAAAGAAGAGAUAUAGGUGAUGGUGAAGUGGUAUGUGGUGUAGUGACCUUUGAGAUAGAAAAUAGAGGUAAUGGUAGGUUGGCAGGUGGAGUGGUCUUUGGUGUAGUGACAUCAAUUAUAAAUGUCUCCAAGGGAGGAAAUAAAGGUGAUGGUAGGUAGUAAAUGUUGAGGUGGUCUUUGAUAUGUUAUGCUCUAAGAGAGAAGGUAUAGGUAAUGAUAAUAGGGAAUUUGACAUAGUGGUGUUGGAAAUAAAAAGUGAAAGUGACCGUAGAGGUGAAAGGGCAAGUGUAAAAGCCUCAAGUACGAAUGGAGUAAUUAAUGUGGAUGGUGCUAACAUAGUCUUAGGUGGAUACACAAAUAGUCAUAGUCAUCAACUAGCUUGCCCACCAUCUGUCUUUCUGCUAGUGAUAGGUUACAUCUUAAUAGUAAUGGCCAACAUAAGUGGUGUGGAUCCGAUUUUUUUACGUGUGUCCCCACUCAAUCGACAAGACUUAUUUUUUAUUAGUGAAAAAUUAAUUUUGGAAAAGUUGGAGUCACCACUUAUUUUAUUUUAUUUUAAAAAGGAAAGUAAAACAAGAAAGAGAACUCUAAAGAAGUGACUUCAUAGUUUUGGAAAAGUUAGUCUUAAAAAAUCCAAGUCUUGGUCCGGAGAUCAGGUUACUUAUUGGGAAGAUACCUCUAAGAGGUAAUACCCCUCUAAACCCUAAAGAAGUCUCUAAUGACUAAGUUGAGGAGAAUGUGGUAAUUAAUUAAUUGAUUGAGGGUACCUAGGUAGACUAAGGUGAUUUCAGAAUUAACAUACCAAGCUAGAAAGUCCAAUCAUGAUCAUAAAAGAGAGUCAAAGUAUGUACCUGAACUGCUUCUCAAACGCUAUCAUAAAACAUCAAAGUUAGUAUAGAAAUAUAACACAUAAUAUUUGUUUUAUCCAAGCAAAUAAAGCAUACAUCUAAGCACCCAAGAAUCACAUCAAGUAUGGAUAUAGUCAUCAAUAGCAUACGUGUCCAUAGAACUAUCGAAAGUAAAUGUGGAGGAGCGUAUCUGGACAACAUAGAUAACUUAUAAUGUGCUUCCACAAGACAUGGGGGUUAGAUAAAAGUUAUAAUAAUAAUUAGUAAAUGAAAGAAUUCUAGCAUGUUUGGUAUCUAAAUAACAUAGCAAAAAUGAACAAGAGUACACGAAAACAUCAAUUAUCACACGAGUCAUAUUGGCUAGUAUUUAAUCAAUAAACCAACAAUAAAUGACUAUAAACAUAUAAAAUGACAUAUUCAAAGAGACCCAAACAUAAAGAGCCUAGAACACAAGCUUACACUAAAUUUAGAAAACUAAAACAUGGAAUUUUAAAAGCAUAAAUUAGCAAACAAAUUGAUGGAAACUAAAUUUAGAUAACUUAAGAAUAUUUUUCUUAUCCUUCAAUUUAAAUCAGUAAGCCAACAAUAAAAAAUUAUAGAAACAUGGAAUAUCAAGAUCAAUGGGAUACCUAAACUAUAAUUUUUAAAAGAAAAUAAACUAAGCAUAAUAUCUACAAAGCAACUAAACUAACAUUUUUUUAAAAAUAAAUUAAACAUGACAUUAAUGGAGUAACCAAACUAAAUUAAAGUAAACUAAAAACAUUUAUGAAUUUUCAAACAUGGAAUCAGCUUUCUUAGUAAAUUAAAAUUAUUAAAAUAAAAUCUAAGCUUAAAAAUGAAUUAAAUACUAACUAAAGCAAAUCUAAAACCAAAUAUUUAACACAUAGGAUCAAUUAUAUUAACAAACUAAAAUUUUAUAAGAACACUUAAACCUAAAGUUGAAUUAAAAACUAACCAAUUUUUAAAACUAGAUCUUUAACCCAUAGGAUCAAUUAUAUUAACAAAUAAAUAAUAAAUAAUAAAUAAAUAAAACUCAAACCUAAAGAUGAACUAGAAAUGUACCAAAGUAAAUUCAAAACAAGAUCUUUAACACAUUAGAUCAAUUAUAUUGACUAACUAAAAAAAAAAAAAAAAAACACUCAAACCUGAAACGAUGUAUUAGAAACUAACCAAAGCAAAUUUAAAAUAGAGUCUUUAACACAUAGGAUCAAUUAUAAUCACUAACUUAAAUUACAAUUUUUGAAACAUGAACUAAUUAGUGUUGGAUUAAUUAAACUAAUUAACUAAAAAAAACUAUAAACUAGAAUACGGUGAAUCAAGAAUUCAAAUCAACAAACAUAAAAUAUGGGUACAAUGAAAUGAAAAUCUAUUAAACUAAUAAGACGGAAAUAUGACAAACUCAUGAACCCACAUUUUGAUCAACUAGGAAAUAGAAAUUAAUAGACCUGUAGCAUGGAUACAAUGAAAUGAGAUCAGUUAAAUUUAUUUGCCGAAAUUCUAAAAAACACAUACACUCAAAUAAGAUCUAAAUCUAAGACCAAGCAAAACUCAAACUUUCUCAAUCUAAUGCAAUGAAUCAAAACUAAAAUUAAAUAGAAAUCAAACCAUUUUUUUUUUAUCUAAUAUAAUAAAUCAAAGCUAAAACUAAACAAAAUCGAAUUUUCUUAAUUUAAUAUGAUGAGUCAAAGCUAAAAUUGAACAAAGUUCAAACCUUUAUAUAAUGGAUCAAAGUUAAAUCUAAAUGAAAUCCAUACUUCCACAAUUUGAUAUAACAAAUCAAAAAUAAAACUAGAUAAAAAAAAAGUCAAAGCCUUUCAACUUGACAUAGUGAAUCCAAACUGAAACGAAACAAAAUUUUAACUUUUCCAAUGAAACCCAAUAUAGAAAAAAUUAGCUUACCUUCUUUAGAAUAUAUGUAUGGGCCAUAAAGAAGUCACCUUGGUGCAUGUGUUCCUCACUUUGACGCCAAUGGACGACUUUCUAUGGUAGCAAAUGGAGAUCCUUUUUGGUGGUAACUUGCGUGUGGAAACCUAUGGUACAACCAAUGUCAUCUUUUAUUGUGCGUGUGGACCAAUUUCUUCUCGAGAACUCAUGUGUGUUGUGCUCAAAAUAUGUUGCCUGUGAGAAUCUAUUGGUAUACCCCACAUAUGGUUUCCUUGAGAGAAUCUGUGGUUGUGUGUGGGCGUUUUCUUCAUGACAGCAUGUGGAUGUUCCCAUCUAUGGUAGAUUGGUUGUGAUGCUUUAGUGCAUGGUCUCCAUAGGAAUAGUGUGUUAUGGAAAUUUGGUUUUUUUAUUGGUGCAUGUUGUCUAGACUUUCCCAUAUGCGUGGACUGUGUGUUCAUGCUUUUCUUUUCGGAUGGUCGCCUGUGUUAAUGUGUGGCGGUGUCUACAAUGAAAGAUACAACCCUUUCUCUCCUUCUGCGUGAUAGAAAAGUCAAUCCCCCAUGGUGCGACUAUGUUCCCUCGUCCUUUUUGAAAAAUUUUGGUGUUUUCCCCCCAAAAAAUCCCCUCCAAAAAUCUAAUUAUAAAUGUCUGCUUUGGCCUAAUGUGUGUGCUACUUUUUUUUUCCUUCUUUUUAUGGUUGUGCGUGCUUUUCUUGAUACGUGGCUUAUUUCUUAAGGAUAUGAUUCGCUCCCAAUUGGUGUCUCAGCUGAUUCAUGUCCUUUCAAUGGUCCCUGACAGUGGUGCCAUUUGAUUCGUGUCCAGCUGGUGUCCCUUGAUUGUGGUCCUCAGAAGGGAGUAAUCAAUAAAAUUUAUAACCUAUUACACCAUGUAUUAGGAUAGCCUUAGCUAGCAUAGCAUAGUGGCUCUAGGGUCGUUUAUUGGGAUGAGUUUUCACUUCACAAUUGAUAUUAAUUCAAGAGCUGAAUUGGUGCCUUUUCAUUUCAAGGUUAGCUUUAAAAGAAAACAUAAUCUUUGGUGGAAAAAGGUUUGGUUUUAAACUAACCAAAAAUAGUAACUGAUUUUACUUACAAAGAAAAGUGUUCUUUGGAGUUUAGAUCACUAGGCUCAGGUUCCUCAUACAAAAAGGAGAGUUCCGAUCAUUUGUUUCUUUUCCUCGCAUUAGAGAAUUAACAUAUAGUUAAUUCUCUAACCGGUGCGGUACAUAUGCUUCCCAUUAAUGGGUUCAAACACUAAAUACCUCUCACUGAUGCACCUUGCAAUGGCUCGUGCCUCUCACCUAGCAUUUAUCAUUCAAGGUGAUCUUUAACCUUGGAUUACCCAUCAAAAGCUCGCAAGAGAUAACUAAAGGAUGUCUCCUUAGAGUCCAAAAGCUUACCAAGUGUUGGUUAUUCUAGAAAAUCCUACCUUCAAACCACCUCCCAAAGGCUCGCAAGAGAUAAACAAGUGCAUCUCAAUGGAUGAAGAUCACUUGCCUUACCAAGUUUUGGCCCAGAUGAUUUAAUGACAUUUUAAGUUAACUAAAAAGAUAAAAACCAUUAACGGGUCACACUUUCUCUUCAUUAAAAACUAAAACAACAAAACUUCCAAUUUAUGCAUGAGGAAACUUACCUGGCUUUCUUCACUUCAAGAGAUGAAGAGCCUAGCCACUCAUCAUUUGAGGAAAAAUCCUCAGAGUUUGAUUUGCUAGAAAUAAAAAUAAUGAGAAAACAAAAAUAUAUAUAUGAAAAACAGAGCAAGUUCUCUGUAAUAUAUUUUUCUUCCUUAUACAAAAGGUUGUCUCUAAGAACAAGUUCCCGAGAUCUAUCUGAUUGUAAAUAAAAUUACAACUAUAUAUAAGAGGUUAUUCACCCCUUUGUUCUUUCUUAAAGACUAAGGAAUCCUAUGAUAGGUGGGUUACAAGGAGAGUUUGGGGAUUUAGACAUCAAAUAUCUAAAGCAAAAUAUCUCAAGAUGUUAGUCGGAAAUAUCAGGAAGCUUCAGGAGAACACCGCGACACUGUAUACUGAGAGAAAAACUCUCCGGGUAAGCUCUAUCAAAGGAUCCAGACAUGUCUGACUGGGAAAGUUGAAACGUCCUUCUCUCCCAUCCGGAUGUGAGAUAUCCGGAGAAAGUGAAAUGUCGGUCGGACAGAAUUCUUUCCCCGGGUGGAAUGAGUUGUGUUGCGCGUCGCAAGGGGGACCGUCUGCGUGUACAAGUUGUAGGGACCCCUCUCCCGGAUGACACCGAGCGCGUAAGGCUAUCCGGAUCAACUCCAUUCGGAUUCCCCAAGAGGACAUGUGGCGUGCUCCCCUAUCAGGACUCCCUUAGGGAGAAGCACACGACACUCGUGAACAUCAUACCCGGACGAUAGCAUGUCCUAUCCGGAUGUGUUGUCCGGAUCAUUGACUAAAGUGAGCAAGCCUUGCUACGUCAUUCGGACAGCUUGCCACAUACCAUGUUCCGUCGCCAUCUGAUGGUGUGUCCGAACGCCUUGUCCGGACAUCUUUUGCUCCUUGCAUUCCGGAUUUGCUUAUGACAAAGGACUUCAAAGCUUCGGUUCUUCAUGUUUCUGAGCUUUCCAUUGCUUUGCCAUGGAUUCCAAAGAACUCUCCUUAAUCACGGAUUGCUUUGGUGAUCAAAAAGUUAUCAAAACACAAAAACUUAACAUAGUUUGAUUAGAAUUGAUUGCAAGGGUUCUUAAUAUGUUAAUUGGGUUAAAAGGUGAUAACUACUACUCAAAAGUGUUUAUAAGAAUUAAUUACAAGCUAUGAAAUAACACUUUUUGAGUAGUAAUCAGGAUACAUCCUAGUUUUUCAUGGAAUUGAUAGUGGGUUGUUGUGCAUGAAUGCCACCAUUUCAACUAUGCUGUUGUUAUUUUUAAAAAAAAUAUGGAUUAUGCGCGAGUGGCAAUUCUCCACUAUGGAAAGUGGAUUGCUCCUUCAACCCAUGCAUGGCUACGUAUUCCUAUGUCUUUCUACUUGUGUUUGAUCCUCCAAAAAAAAUUUCGGUUUAGUGCUAGUAGAUUUUAAGUGGUGGAUCCCCAUUUUUUGAAAAUGAAGUGGCAGCCUCCCAUUUCAAGACAAAAUGGUAGCCUGCCUUUAAUCUUUGGAGAAAAAUCUGUGCAUGACCUUUUUUUUUCCCAAAAAAUCCGUGCAUGGUGUCCUUUAAUAUUUGGAGAAAAAUCUAUGUUGGAUCUUUUCUUUUCUAGAAACAUUUGUGUGGUCUUUUUUGUUAGCCCAAGGGUUCUUCUAAUCAAGUUUUGAUGAUAACAAACCAUGGUUAAGUGACUAAUUGGUUUAAUGAUUAAGAAUCUCAAACAUAAAAUCGAAAAUUCAUCAAAGGACCAAAUGGAUACAAGAUCGAGACGCUUGGAAGACUUGUAAUCAUAGGAAACUAAUGUAAGAUGAAUGCAUGAGUGCACUUAGGAUUUUCACACGUUUCAUGCAACUUAGAAAACCCAGUUUAUUCUUUAAAACUUCAUCCCAGUUUAUUCUUUUUAUGGUUGUGUGUGCUUUCCUUGAUACGUGGCUUAUUUAUUAAGGAUACAUCCCAGUUUUUCAUGGAAUUGACAGUGGGUUGUUGUGUGUGAAUGCCACCAUUUCAACUGUGCUGUUGUUAUUUAAAAAAAAAAAAAAUGGAUUGUGCGCGAGUGGCAAUUCUCCACUAUGGAAAGUGGAUUGCUCCUUCAACCCAUGCAUGGCUACGUAUUCCUAUGUCUUUCUGCUUGUGUGUGAUCCUCCAAAAAAAAUUUUGGUUUAGUGCUAGUAGAUUUUAAGUGGUGGAUCCCCUUUUUUUGAAAACUAAGUGGCAGCCUCCCAUUUCAAAACGAAGUGGUAGCCUGCCUUUAGUCUUUGGAGAAAAAUCUGUGCAUGACUUUUUUUUUCCCAAAAAAUCCAUGCAUGGUGUCCUUUAAUAUUUGGAGAAAAAUCUAUGUGGGAUCUUUUAUUUUCUAGAAAAAUUUGUGUGGUCUUUUUUGUUAGCCCAAGGGUUCUCCUAAUCAGGUUUUGAUGAUAACAAAUCAUGGUUAAGUGACUAAUUGGUUUAAUGAUUAAGAAUCUCAAACAUAAACUCGAAAAUUCAUCAAAUGACCAAAUGGAUACAAGAUCGAGACGCUUGGAAGACUUGUGAUCAUAGGAAACUAAUGUAAGAUGAAUGCAUGAGUGCACUUAGGAUUUUCACACGUUUCAUGCAAUUUAGAAAACCCAGUUUAUUCUUUAAAACUUCAAUUUCAUUAAAACCCGAGUUUUUAACUAAUGUACCUUAGGCAAAAUGUUUUAUAAUUGGCUUAAUAAUUCACCUAAAUACAUUUUCUAAGUGUUAGAAAAGAAAGGAAUUAAAAAAAGGUUUUCGGGGCAAAAAAGGCUCAACCGGUCGAGGCUAUGGUCAACCGGCUCAACCGGUUGAGGAACCAAUCGAUCGGUUGUGCUUGUCCGAUCGAAGACCAAUCGAGGGAUGCCAAAAAAUUUCUCUCUCUCCUAGUGGCCUUCUCUUCCCGGUCGAGGUUCGGUCUAGGCAACGGUAACAUGUCAAGCAUUAAAUGCUCCGACGACUAGUGAAUCGGUCGACCCCUAGCCCGAUCGGACGAGGUUGCCUUUUGCUGUUUUUGACUCCCGAGCUUAGAAACCUAUAAAUUGAGAGCUCCACUUCAUUUAUUGAUAAAAGAGAACACUUGCAUUCAAUAGUCUACCUACCUUUUCUUGAUCAAAAAGCUCUCAUUUCCUUCAUAGUGCAUUAAAUCAUCACUUGCAUAUCCUUUAGUGCACUAUUGUGUGUCAUCCUAGCUUUGUUUUGUAUUUGAGCUAUCCUUAAGCUAGGUUGAGGGAUUAUUUCUUAUAAAAAUCUGAGUGUUAAAGCCUUCAAGAGAUUUGAAUCUUGAAGAGAUUGUGUAAGAGCCCAUUGGAGCCGGAGUCCAAGUGUAAGAAGAUUGGAAGCUUGGUUGAAGCUUCAAGUUAGUGGAACCCUCACUCGGUUAGGAGGUUGAGGAGAGUGGACGUAGGUAAGGAAGUGUCGAACCAUUAUAAACCCGAGUUUGAAUUCUCUAACUCUAUCUCUUUAUUUUGCUUAUAUUGUGUUUGAAUUUGUUGUGAUUGAAAAGAUUUUAAAAACCUAAUUCACCCUCCCCCCUUUUGGGUUUUUUUUUCUUAAUUAAGCAUAACCUUUGUUUUCUAAUUUUCUUUUUAGGAAAAUCCAUGCGUGGUAUGUCCAAACUCUCCAAGUGGCAGUCUGCCUUCUUCUAAAAAAUUUGUUUCUAUUUCUUUAUUCGACUACCUUCCAUGUCUUCCUAAUGAGUGCUUGUGCUCAAUGGUCAAUCCCUGGUGGUUGCCUCCUUUUCCCAUAUAUACGUGUUGCAAAAUCAACAUCCCACUAUAUGUGGGUUGCCUCUAUGGCAAGUUCACAUUUCCCACAUGAAACCUAUGAGUUUCCACCAAAAAUUGCCAUGAAAAAGUCUUUAUAUGCAUCUCAUGCAAUAAAAAGUCAAGCCAAUACUCAUCUUAUCUCGAAAAAUAAGUAACCAAAAUCAAGAUCAUGCCUAAGUGAACUAUGCCAAAAGAAGUGUCCAAGUGACCUAUUAUGAAAAAAGUGCCUAAGUGACCUAAGGUGAAUGUGUGUAAGCUGGAAGGUGUCUAGGAUGUUUAGGACAAUGCCUAAGCCUAAAAUAGGGUUGCCAAGGGUCACAAUGGGGUUAGAUAAAUCUCUCAAUCAGAGUCUCCAAGGUGGCUCAUAAAAGAUAAGCUACACGAGUAAUGAUGGGCCACCAGGGAAUUAUUGUAAAGCACCAAACGAACACAUAAUAGGACAUGUGUUAGAAUGAAAAAAUGGAGGGUUUACAAGUGGUCUCAUGGAUGAGCUUGAUAAUUUAAAUGACUCACAUAAUGAACGUAUGUGAUGUUUCUCUCCAAUAACAAGCAAAACAUCACUAGCAAUAUGAUGAAUGUCUCCUAAAUCACUUGAAGUAGUCCUAGCAAAUCAAUUAGAAAAAUCACACAUAUUGCUCUAAUGUAAUAUUAUAUACAUCUGUCAAUGAAUGGGAGAACUAAUGACACAACCAUCAUGUUGAUAUCUCGAACCCUCUAAUCUCAUAUGUAGGUGGGAUCACACUUAGAAACUCAUAACACAGUAAUGACCAAUCUAAGUCAAAAUGUGUUGGUGAUCGGAGGCCCAUGAAUAUGAAGUUCUAGGAUGAUAAUGACAUCUUAUAAAGUAAUGAUCAUCUCCUUAAUAGAUAGGUGAAAUGUGUGUGUCUUAGGACACCAUCUCUCAACAAGACUUGUGAUCAAUCCCCAGUCUAGUGUAACAUGCCUAUUAUGACAUCCAUCGUAAAAUCUAGACUAGAUAAUAUAAGGACAAAUGUGAGGGUUCAUCUCCCUUUCCCACAUAAAUUUAAAAAAUUAUUAUUGACAAGUUAAGACCAAACUAAGUUGCAAAAUAUAAAUAAGUCCAUUAGAUAACAAAUUUAUGUUUUCUCAUUUUCUCAUUUUUAAAGAGAUAUUAUGUGCUUCCAUGUACAUACAUGCUAAAGUCAAUUAUACGAGACUUAUAUCCAUCUUGUAGAACCAAAUCGAACCUAUCUAAUAGAUCCAGAUUAGAAGUAUGUCCUCUAUACUCCAUAUUUAUAACACAUUUAUAAAGAUAAAUGCUAAAAAAAUGUUAAAGAUAUAAAUUUAAUGAACCAUACUUUAUGAUUUUAAUUCUCAAUUAUUGUUCAUAUUUAUAAGAGAAAAGUUAAAAAAAUUGAUAGAGUUUUCCCUCUAUCAUGGACAUUAUCCCAAAUAAAAAUAAAUUGAUUAUGCAAAUUACAUUAAUAUUUGUAACCAAAUGAUCAAUAACUAUCUUGUAUCAAUUUAGUAAAUAAAUUUAAGUAUAUCUUUUCAUUUAUGACUAACAAAUAACUCAUACUUGUCCAAUAAAAGCCACACCUAAUUUCUAAAAUUUUGUCUUCACCUCAAGUGAGUGUUACAUUGAGAAAGAAAAAAUAUGAAAGAAAAAAUGAACACCUUUUUCUUUUAAUAAAAAAAGGCCAUAACGAAACAUUAAAUCUCACUGUUACACCUAUCUUCAAUGGAAACAUGAGGAUGUGAAUGGUGGCGGUGAUAUUCUUUGCUUGAAGCUCAUAAACAAAUAUUCCUUACUAAGCCUAUGCCAUUUAGUAUUUCAAUAGUGGACCCCCCCCCCCCCCCCCCCCCCCUCCUUGCAUUUCAGAUUUAGCAAACUUAGAACCAAAUAACAAAGUGCAUUUGAACCCAUAAAGAAGUAAUGAGACUCUCCUAUAUUGGCAAUAGAAGAAAUUUUUGGAGGUAUAGGAGAUUCACGGAUGAAGAAGUUGGGCCCCAAUUGAGAUAAGACCCAAGAAAAGAUGGGGUAGAGAGGGAUGGUUGGAAAUUGUAAAGUAAGAUUUUCAAAAUGUAGUUGAUGACUAAGAUUUUGACAAUUUAAAAAAGGUUUAAAAAUGUAGUUAGCAAUCGGGGUUUUGUAACAUUUAAAAAAUAAAAUAAAAUCUCAGGCCACAUGGUAGCCCAUGUGAUUCAGAAGCUUGAGAAUUAUUUUAUAAGAAGACUUAAUUUGUGAUUUUUUUAUAACUAUAUUAUUUUUUUUCUUAACACACGAAAAAAAUUAUGAAAUAAGACAAUUUUCCUAAGAAAGCAUGUAAGUGACUCUUGGUUAUUUUAUUUAACUUCUUCUAGUUUGGAGAGGAUUAAUACCUUUGCUUUUACUCACUUGCUUGGAUAUGUACACGUUGUUCAUGUCACUUUUCAUUUAAUUUUCUGAUUAAGGGAAUUGGAACCGUACGUAACUGUCUUUAUUCCCUCUGAAACUUGGACUUGGAGUUGGACUUUCAAUCUCAUCAGUCGUGUUUCCAUAAAAAAGAAGAUGGAUUAACCAAUUUUCCUAUGCCUACUAAUCAUACACAAAACUCCACUUCCAAAUAAAAAGGAAUGGGAUAUCACUUGUUAAUAGUGGCUAAAGACUAUUAAUAACCAUGCAAAGAAAUGUCACAUUUUUUGUUCUACGCAAAUUUUAUUCAUCAACUACUAGAACCAUUUCAUACAAUAGUAGCUUUUCGAUCCUUUGAUAAAUGGACACUUGAUGUGAUAACACCAACUACACCUAUAUAUUCAAGCAAUCAUGCGUAUAUAAUAGUGGAUAUGGAUUACUUCUCUAAAUGGGCAAAAGUUUUGUCAUUCAAGGAAAGUGAACGAGGAAACACAAGUUUACUUUCAUCGGAACUAAUAUUAUAUAUUGAUAUGACUUCCCAUUAUUACUUACGAUGGAAUAUGCUUCCAUAAAAUGGCCUAGAUGAACAAACUAUCCAAGAAGUUUGGGAUCAAAUAAUAUAUAUAUAGUUCAUGUGUGAUUCUUUGGUUGACAACCUUGUUAAGGGGUGAGUGAAGCACUUUGGGCAUACCACAUACUACAUGCUAGACUUCCACCCAAGCUACCCUAUAUUCCUUAUGAACAAAGUAGAAGUUGUCAUCUCUCUUGAAUACCAAAUCCUUUCACCUAAUAAUGCUAUCUAAAAAGGUCUUAAAAAGGAUAAAAAUGCGCAUAUUUGAAUUUUUGAAUUAGGAGUGCUACUUAAAAAGAAGCUAGAUAUACAAUAAUAGAAUGUUAUCAAGCAUAUCUCUUCAAAGUUUUUGACCAAAAAAUAUAUGAUUUCUCAUUUUAGGUAGGAGACUUAGUACUCACUAUUCAAAAACCAAUUAUCAUUACUCAUAAAAACUAAUAGAAAGUUUGGGCCAAAGUAGGAUGGACCUUAUAUUAUGCAACAAUUAUGCCUAUAAAAUUGUUGCAAAAGAGGUUUUAGAAUCAAAUCAAUGAAUGAAAAAUUAUUAAAGCAUUACUAUGCUUGAAGGCUAGUCAUUUUCCCUUAAAGUGCAAUAUUAAGUUGCAUAGUACUAUGUGGAUCCGCAUUUUUCACAUGCGUUCCCACUCAUUGUCGAGACUCACUUUUUAGAAGUGAAAAAUUAGUUUUAUUAAAGUCGAAGUUGCCACUGGGGAUUUGAACCCUAACAAAAGGUUCAAUUUAAGGAUAAAAAUAUCGAUAAUCACAUAUAUAUAUAUUGGUACUUUGAUUUUAUGAAUAUAUUGAAGAAAUAUGGACAAAUAUUUUGACACAAAAUAUGUACAAAAUAAAAAUUAUAUAAAAAGUAAAAAUAAAUAUUUUAAAAUUAUUUUUUUAAAUAUAUAUAUAUAUAAUUUGACAUAUUUGAUAAUAAUAUAUAAGGGUCUCCAAAAAGCCCGUGGCCCGCUUUAGGCCCGGUCCGACCCGACAGGCUAAAGCCCGGCCCAAGCCCGCCGGGCCCAAGCUCGGCCCGAGCCCGUUUAUGGGUGGGCCGGGCCGCGAGCCCGUAGGCCUGCUCCUUUAAAAAAAAACUACAAAAAUAAAAAGUAUUAAAAAAAAUAUUCAUUUCAAAAUUUUAUUCAUUGAAUGUAUAAUUACAUUUGAAAAUGUGGGAAAAGUUUACAUCACUACAAAAUAAAUACAUCCCAACUAGGUUGGCACCUAUUUAUUUGUCAAUCAUCUGUAUUUUUCAACCACAAAAAAUAAAAAUAAAAAUAUAAUAUACAUUUAGUCAUUAUUUUCUGGCGGUGAUGGCGAACUAUCAUGCAUCCAUGAAGAUCUUGAUAAUUUUAAAGAUUCCAUAUCGGUAAGCAUCUUUGUUUCUCGAAUGGAAUCAUACAUCCUUUUAUCUGCUAUUUCCCAAUCUUUCACACAUAUCCCUGCUUUAAUAACAUCUGACGCUAAGUUGCAUCGUUUUUUACUAACUACUCUUCCACCUGCACUAAAAGCAGCUUCUGAUGCAACUGUACUCACAGGAACUGUUAGUACAUCACGAGCAAUUAUAGAAAGCACAGGAUAUUUGUGUUGAUGUGAUUUCCACCAUAUUAAAAUAUUAAAAUCUUCUUGAUCUUCAAAUGAAAUUAUAUCAGUAUUAAGAUAUUUAUCUAAAUCAGAUGUAUUAUUUGGAGAAUUAUUUGUUGUCUUUUUUCGACUUUUCAACAUUUCUAGAGCUCCUUUAUAAAAAGAUGAGGAGUUUGUAGAUGUAGGUGGUAAUUUAAUAGUAUUAAUAUCAUUACCAUAUUUUUCUUUAUAAUAGUUAUAUAAAUUAUAUAAUAAUGAAUUUAUUUCAUUUUUAAUUUCUUCAAUUUUUAUUUGGUCAUUAAAAUAAAUAAUUGUUAACCAUUCAUCCAAAGCUUCAAAUUUCAAUCUAGGGUCCACAAUUAAAGCAAUAUAAAAAAUUAAAGGUAUUUCUCCCCAAUAUUUUCUAAAUUUUUAUAUCAUUACAAAUAUUGUAUCAUUAAAUAUUUCAAAACUUAAAUAUUUUUGAAGUACAAUAAAAAUAUUAGUUAUUUGCGUAAUAACUCGAUUUGAAGUUGGAUAAUAUACACCACAAAAAAUGUUUGUUGAAGUAUCAAAAAUUUCAAAAAGAUCUCUUAAAACAUCCGCAAUAUGCCAAUCAUAAUCAUUUAAUGCAUAAAUAUCUGCUUCAUAAUCAUUGUUAAUUAAUUGUAUUUCAUAUAAUUCGACUACUUUUCUAUAUUUUGUAAUAUUUUCUAAAAGUUUAUAUGUGGAAUUCCAUCUAAUAGCCAUAUCCAAAUUUAUAUUUUUUCUUUUCAUAUUUAACAUUUUGCAACAAUCAAAAAAUAAUUCAUGUUUUGCUUGAAAACUAUUAAUACUAUAUGCAAUGCCUCUAAUUUUUUUCCAAUGUACUAUCAACAUUUUUUAAUCCAUCCUUUACAAUUAAAUUUAAAAUAUGUGCACAACAACGCACAUGAAAUAUUUUAGCAUGAUCUUCUUUUACUUGCCAAUAUCGUUUUAGUCUAUGUAUUGCUGCAUCAUUAUUAGCAGCAUUAUCUAAUGUUAUUGUCAAUAUUUUAUCACGAAUGCCUAAAUCUAUAAUUUCAUCAUUUAUUAAAGAUGCUAUAUUUUUACCACUAUGUGGAGUAUUUAUUAAUUUAAAUAAAAUUAUUCUUUUAUUUAAUUUCCAUUCAUUAUCAAUGUAGUGAACAAUUAUAUAUAAAAAACCAGUAUGAGUUAAAGAUGUCCAAAUGUCAGAUGUUAAACGAAUAUUUCCUUCAAAAUUUGCAAAAUUUUUUUUUAAAAUUUCUUUUUGUGUAUAAAUUUUUUUCAUAAUAUCUCUUUUAACUGUAUUUCCAGAUCAACCUUUAAAUUGAGGAUUAAUACCUCGUUGAAUUGUUCUUGCAAAAUCAUGAGUUUCCAUCAUGUUGAAAGGUUGUUCUGCUCUUAUUAUAUAAUCAAUCAUUUCUUCACAACAGUUAGAUUCAUCAUAAGAAAAUGUUUUUAAAUUUCCACUUUCAUUUUUACUUAAUUGCAUAUAAUUUCUAAUAUCUACAUUAUUUUUAGUUUUACAAUUUUCAUGAUGUCUUUUUAAAUGACUUGUAUCUGCAUUUGAGCCACCAGUAAGAAAUUUAUUACAAAUUUUACAUUUUGCUUUUAUUUUUUUUUUAUUAUUUUCUAAAAUUAUUUCUAUUCUAUCAAAAAAAUUCCAUAUAUUUAAAGUAAAUUUUUUGUUUGAUGAUAUUUCAUCACAUGGACUAGACGAAGAAGCACUUGUCAUAUUAUAAUUAUUGAUAAAAUAUUAUGCCAAAAAUAAUAAAGUAAUAAAUAUAAAAAAAAAUGUAACAAAAAAAAUAAAGUAGUAGGGGUGAAGUAUGUUACUCAAUUAGAGAACCUAUGCAGAAAUUCCUAGCAAAUUUGAACUCUUGGAGCCACCAAUGCUUGUUUUGCACCAUCAACAAUAUUGUAUAAUUUGAGGGAAAAAUAAAAGAAUUUAAAAUAUUGUAGAAUGUGAGAGAAAUAGAGAGAAUUUGAUGAAAAAAUGAAAAGGAAGAAAAUGUAUUUAUAGGAAGGUUAAAAAUAAUAAUAAUAAUAAUAAUAAUAAUAAUAAUAAUAAUAAUAAUAAUAAUAAUAAUAAUAAUUGGCCAUGUGACCGUUGGAGGCUUAGCUCCAACGGUCACAUGGGCUGGAGCUAGGCUCCAACAGUCACAUGACCGUUGGAGCCUUUAAUUUUUUUUUUUAAAAUAAUAUACUUUAUUUUUAUAUAUAUAUAACUAACUCAAUUAAUAAACAUAAAAAGAAUAUAGUUCAGUUGGUUAGAACCUUGAAGUUUAAACAUGAGGGGAGGGGUUUGAAUCCCUCCCUCUCCCUUAGGGGCUUUUUUAAAAGCCAUUUUGGCUUAUUUCAAAAAGCCUGUCGGCCCGACCCGCCCUGCAGCCCGCGGGCCUAGCAUUUUAGCAUGGCCUGGUCUGUUGACUAGUCAAAUGGCUCAUAGGCUCGGCCCGAACUGGGCCGCGGGCCUCUUAUUUACGGACCGGCCCGACCCGGCCCGCCCGUUGGAGACCCUUGAUAAUAUCUUCUAUAUUAAGUUACAUUAUAGUUUAUUUUACAAUAUUAUUAUGAUAAUAUGUCUAAUUUUAAAAUAUAUUUAAUAUUAAAAUUAUGAUCUAUUUUAAUUUAAAUGUAUUCAAUGAUAUCAAAUAAAUAAUAAUAUAUGUAUAAUUCUUUUAUUAUUUAUAUUUAUUAUUUUUAAUAAAUAUAUAGAUUAUAUAAAAAAGACCGGAUAUAUCUUUUCAAAUUUUGUAUCGCUCUCCAAGGAUAUUAGAUGUAUGGGAAUUUGUAUUGCUAUCUACGGAUACGUUGAUAUAUGGGUGAUUUAUCAGGAUAAUUAGAAAUUCUAAUUAUGUAAGCAGGUACGGAGUUCUGUGUCGGUGCGAUCUUGUCGACAACAGCUCCAAAUUGUGCAUCUUGCUCAUAGAGAGUAGCGGAAUGCACCAAUCGUAGGCUCAGAGUACCACUGAGUCGUCUGGCAGAGACCCAACUGAAGGUGCCUGUGUUGUUCCUGAUCUGAUCAGGCUUCAAACUACAAGGUGGAAUACUGGUUCCCCUAUAUCAGAAGCUGGAGAUACCCACCCCAUAUGCUCGUCUGGAUGUGCUCCUACCCUUUGAAGCCUUCUUCCGAGUCAAGUCCGAAUUGAUAAGGCUAGUGAGUUCCCAACCAACUGUACUCAGCAUGCUGCCAGGUGGAGACCCUCCAUAUUUGAUGGCUUCCUAAUAUUAAAAUGCUGACCACUGGUCUUCAUGUUCCACAGGCUUAAUUGUGUCCUUUGCUGAAAGAAUGGAUAGUGAUCCAUUUUAACACAUGAUUCACGCCGUCUUUGCCAUUCUUCAUGGUCUAGCCCUUUUAUAUAUAUGCUUCCUGAACUGUUGCUAUUAAUAAAAUGUGGUAUCUAUCCCGUACACCUUCCUGAUGGCCAGCGAAUGCAGAAGCUACAGAAACGGUUCCAUCUUUUGCUUCCGCCACUUUGGCAUCCUCCAUGAUGAGAUCGAAGGUGAAUAAUCAUAUUCUGGGGAUUUAUGUCCUGGAUAUUCUCAGUAAUGCCCAAUUUCCUGGUGCCGGCCUCAUUUCCAUGGGAACUGAUGGAUAACUUAAGGCUUCUACCAUCUGCGUGGUUCGCUUCUAACACAGGAAACUUCACGGCUAAAAGCAAGAUACCAAGAACAUCAAGGCUGUGACAAAAAUUAGUAUUUUUAACUUGUAGGAAUUUGAAAGGCAACCAACCAUCUAGCUCUGUUCUUAAAGCUCCCAUAGGAGGAUCAGAGGCUGGAUUGCUCAAGAUGAACUCAUCCAUUGUUGCACUUAAAAAGAAUUGGCAUGAAUUGUGGCCGCUCUAAUAGGUUCCCUAAACCAUCAUCCAAGUGGGCUUGCGGAAGGUAGCGAGUUUAAAACACCUAGGGCGAUGAACAGUGGACUGUGAUGCUCACAAAAGAGAAAAGGAAGAAUUCAAUAAUUCCUAAGAAUCCAUUUGCCUGUCAUCCAAAUUUUUAUAUUCUCUUCAGUCUGACGCGUUAUGCCAUAUAUUAAAAAUAGCGGCUUCUUCCAAGCCGAGACAGACUGUGCAAAGUUCGCAAGGCCAAUCAUCACCAUAAUCUGAAGUUGGCCUCCUCAAUCGCAGCUUGUAUCCGAAUGCUCACUUCACGGGAUGGAUUGUAAUGAAAACUAAUCUCAGUCCCAGCUAUGGCAGCAUCCUCACUUGACAGCAUUUUCUGCAUAUUCUAGAACAAAGCAAUAAACCCUCAAAGGCUCCUUCGGAUCAGAGUUAGAAGACUGUCCCUCAGGAACGUGAACACUAUGGUGGUUCUGAUAAGCAGUGAUAUUGCAUUAGAGCCUUUUGGAACAAGAGGAUCUUUUCAGGUGGAAACUGUAAACUGCUUCAUGUUGGGCUGCAACCUUUUCUUCAAGCAAUACUUUCUUUCUGUAUCACGACUUAUGUUGCUUCCGGAGCCAUCCCGUGUGGACUGCCCUUCAGUGAAAGAAUAUGUGUGUUGACAUGUUGGAUUGUAAUCUUUGUUCCACUCUAAUGGCUUUUGGUCCUCCUCUUUCUCUUUAUGACAGAGAACCAUUUAGUGAUCCAUCUCUAUAUUGUAGCAUUGCUGGUGCUUUGCAAUACUACACUCUCACCAAGCAUAACAUCUAUUUUUCCGUGACCAAAGUAUGUCGGUUUAUGCAUGCGCAAACUCUUAUUCAUUGGCAAGUUGUCAAGCGUAUCUCAUGAUUUCCCAAAGCCACAAGUUCUUAUGGUCUUUCUGUUCAAGCUUACAAUGAUCUAUCUUUUCUUGGUUAUACUGAUGUCGAUUGGGCUAGUUGCCCUGAUAACAAGCACAAUACUAGUGGGUACAACACUUUUCCUGGUCCUAAUCUCAUUUCAUGGGCAUUUUCAAAGCAGAAGGUUGUGUCUCACUCCAAUAACGAAUCUGAAUAUAGGGGACUCACUAAUUAAUGUUGUUGCCAAGGUCACUUGGAUUGAAUCUGUCUUACGUGAGUUGCGUGUUUCUCUACCCCAACCACCAAUUUUGUUGUGUGACAACAUUAGUGCUACACACUUGGACAAACCAUGUUGAAAUACACUAUCAUUUUAUCCAUGAAAGGCUUAUGCAUCACACACUCAAAAUUCAAUACACCUCUUCUAUAGACCAACUAGUCAAUGCUAUGACCAAAGCUCUUCCUUCAUCUCACUUGUACAAUCUUCAGUGCAAGCUGAUUGUUCUUCCCAAACCACUCAACUUGAGGGGAGAUGUUAAGCCAAUUUAAUAAAUUGAUUUCUUUUGGUUAAUUUGUUAGAAUCAUUUUUAUUAGAGGUUUGUUUGUACAAUUACAUCCAUUUAUCAGGAGAGUACACGUGUACAACUCCUCUUUUAAUCUCACCAUUGUAUAUAUAUGAUACACGACCUUACUCAGAAUUGCAUAACAUUUCCUCUGCUCAUUCCUUUUCUUCUUUGAAUUUUCCCUUACCUCACUGAUUUUGAUUUAUACCUGGUGUUUUCACCUUUGGUCUCUACCUUUCUAGCCAGUUUUCUAAUUAAUCCGUAUAUGGUAUACCUGUCAACUAAUGAGGAGAAAGAGAAAAGGGGAUUGCUGUUCCACCAGCUACAUAUAAUAAUUAAUUACAAUCAUGGUAAUGGAUCCUGAAAUCCAUCCUUUGUGGAUUUUGUACGGAAUAUUGUUGUUAUGUAUGUGGGCUCACUUAGAUGUAUAUUGCUAGCCUGUCUGGGAAAUGUGAUUGCAGGUCCAGAUUAUGAUGUUGAUAUUAGUGGGAUAAGCAAGAGAUGCAGUUAACACGUAUGUGAUGGACUUGAGUAACUUUUCCAUUUCAGUCCAUUUUUUAAGAUUAUGCUUAGUCUUAUUACAAGGAAAGACCAUAAGAAUCAUGAGUCAUUGGCAAGGUAAUAUCAUUCCCUCUUUACAGGCUUCUUCACCUUUUGGUUUUUUUAAUAUCCAUCAAGAUCUUUUAAUUGGAGGACAAUUACAAGUAUAUAUAUAUGUAUUAAAAGGGGAAAAUAUUAAAACAGGAAAUUUUAGGGAAAAUAUAAUAAUUAUUUCUUCCUUCUUUCCCAUAUAGAACUACACAAAAUAAAACUUUAAUAAUUUUUUCUUAUCUUUUUUAUUAUUAUUUUUUCUUAGAAACAUCCGUGGUCUCACAAGCUUGUAAUCCUAGAUUGUUAGGCUCCUUUAACAGUGCCCCAACAUCGUGGUCCAAUGACAAGCUUCCACGCCUUAAAAUCAGAAAAUGCCAUUAAACUUUAUCAGACAUUACAGUUCAAGACAAAGCUUUCAUUUGCUUAAUGUGAUAAUGAAAUUGUUAAUUUCAUUUCGUGGGCAUCUAAAUUUGGACGAGCAAGACCUCUGAAUUCCCUGUUUUUAUCACCAGCAGAGGAGAUAAAAUCUUAAUGGUGAGAAUCUCCACGUGAAAUUUAUGUGUACUGUCAACAUAUUUUUGUUUAUAUAGUCCAGUAGCUGCAGGAAGUCUAGAUUAUAUAGGUAGCAGUAGCACUAUUUAUAGCACUCGAUAUUCGCUGUAUGAAUACAUUAAACCUUGUUUUCAAUACGCAUCACAAGCAAGUACUAGAUACUACAAGGAGUGACAGUCGCAUCAACAUUUCUUGAUAAUAGCAGUGACUGAUUUAUACACAGAACAGUACUGUACACGUACCAGUCACCAGAGAUAGGAUCUUAUUCCUACAUACGACUCUUAUUGAUCGAAGUCACUCAGUUGGGGUAGCCUGGAGUUGGAGGUUUGUGUGGUGGCUUCUUCUUUGGAGGAGGCUUUAUCUUUGGAGGCAUCAUCUUUGGAGGCAUCUUGUGUGAGUCUUCUUCAGCAUUCUCUACAGGAGGAUGGCCAGGCUUAUGACCCUUAGGUGGUUUGCCAACUGGGAUUGGUGGCUUGUGUCCUGAGAGUGGCUCCUCUUCUUCGGGAGGUUUGCCAACUGACGUUGGUGGCCCGUGUCCUGGGGGUGGCUUGUGUUUUGGGGGUGGUUUCACUCCACCGGGAGGUUUACCAAUUGGUGUUGGUGGUUUGUGCUCAAUCGGUGGCCUCUCAACUGGGGGGCGCUUGGGGUAAUCAGCGAGUGAAGAAGUGGUGAGAACCACCACUCCAAGCAACAACACUAGCAAGUAUGUGGAAGACAUCUUUGAGUUUGGCUCAGAUGGUGUAGAACUAGAAUCCUGGGUGGCCUUUUAUAUUAGUUGGGCCCUAUGCCCGAACGACAAGUGUCAUGGUGACACAUAAAGUGAUGGGGUCGAUUUGGGCCUACCGGAUUUGAAAACUUGGACAAUUCGAGAAGCGUCUCCUGACUCCGGGUUGUAAAGUGAAAGAUUAGGUAUCGACCAUUGAAGUAUGAUCACAACUUUUGGCCUUUGGCUCUCUCUACUGCCGUAUAGCUUUUUUCCUUUGGAUAUUUUUCUUAGCUAGACACAAUUAUUGAGCAGUCUAAUCUCGAAAUGGGAUUAGUAUAGCUUUAAGCAAAUUUAUUAUAGUUAGUGGAGGACUUUUAAGAGUGCAGACGACAUUUAACACAUGCAUGCAGUAGUAUAGGGGACAUAACACUAUUCUUUUUCCAAAGAUUCACAUGAUUUUUAUAUUAUAGUAUUGGCACAUUGUAUGUAGCUGGUUUUGUGGUUAAAAUUCCAUAUGUAGACACUGGCGUUUCUCCAUUUCUCACAAUUGAUGUUUACCUCCACGAUUACUAGAUUAGAUAUACCAAACAAUAACACAUUGUAUAAUCUAUCCGCCCUUCAAAAUCUACUGUAUGAUGAAAUGUUUCAUGUGUGUGUGAAGUGUUAGAAAUGCACUAUAGGCAACAUCAUCUUCUUUUGUCUAGGCUUGGGCCUCAAAUUAUACUCCCAUGCCAUGAUAAAUUUUCAUGUGCAUUCUCUAAAGAAGAGUGUCUUGAAUGUGCCAAAUCAUUUUGAUUGAUUUUAUGAUGUUAAUUGCUCCGCAUAUGGAUGGGUAUGUGCUUUAUUUGCUUAUUCAAUCCACAAUUACCUUGAACUGAAGUCCUAUUGGAGCUCUAUUAUUUUAGCAACGUCCUGUCAAAUAGGCUGCUAACUUGGGGUGGUAUGGACCCAAUGAUCCAUCUUAAUCUUGGGUUGAUUUUGUCUGACUCUAUCUAUCUCAGAGAGAACCAGGAUCACCAGUGCUGGUCUGCUUAAAGAAGACUCAGUACUGGAUUAAUAUUGGUUUGGGUCAAUAGCUUAUAAUGCAUUGAAUGCAGAAUAAACAAGAUCAAUGAAACCCAAAACACACUGCCCACACAACUUCACUCUGGUGUCUGUUAUUCAUCAAUUCUAUUCCCACAUGAACUGGUUCAAGUUUAAGAAAAUGACAACGGAUCCACUGUAUUAACUUGGUUUUGCUUGGUUUUGAGCUAGUUGCCAAACCAGCCAUGAGUUUUACCUCUAAUGUCAAUGAACAAACCCCAAAUGAACAACUGCAACAGCUUAAAGAGAAGGAAUGGAGAUGAAAAUCCCUGUUUCUUCUCAUUCUGGGGACAAAUUAGAACAUAACUACAAAGGUUCUAUUAAUUGACUUACUCUACCAUGAAUUAUGGUUCUUUGGUUUUCCAAAUUUAAAUUGUACAUGAGAUUAUUUUUUUCCUUUAUAUAUAAACAUAUUAAGGUUUUCUUAUUUCGUGGGCAAAUGCGCUAAGGAUGAAAGUCAUUUCAUUUGGCUGCAACAGCAUCUUAUAAUCAACAUGCAUAAGCAGCAGUUUUAAUUGAUCGAUUGAACACCGACUCACAAGAAUAGAUAGAAUGGUACAAGACAGCUCUUAUUAAUUUAUACUCGUUACUCAUUUUAUGUAGCCCCAUUAAGAUGGCUGGCUGGACCACCGAGGUCUGGGGGUGGUGUUGCUUGUGUGAUGCAGCGGGCCGGGCAGACACUUCUCUAGUUGCUUCUAUUUGGAGUUAGAGGAUCAGUCUCUGCCAACCUUGAGGACUCUCUACCUCAGAGGGUCCAGGUGGUGGACUCUGGUGUCGGUAGCUUUGAACUCUCAGUAGACUAGUGUGUCUUAAUCAGUCACUGCCAGAGGCUGGCGUAGGCAGUGACGAUAAGGUGAGACAAAUUACCGAAUAGUCAAUAUCGACUGCACUUGACCAUUAUAGAUUUGUUCUGACAAAAGUGAGAAAAGGGAGAAAAUCGGAUGUUGACCUUUAUAGAAAAAGAUAAGAUUUACUGCAACACAGAGCACUGAUUUGUUACUUGGAAACCAAGUUAUGCUAUUAGCUAGCCUCCAUUAGCAGCAGGGUACCUUGCUGCCUGAUCCUAAUCUGAGUUCCCAAGGUUUCAAUCUUCGUUUGUUAACGCUUCAGGAUUUGGAUAUUUCAGCUUCGUUUCUCCAUUUAGCCAACGCUGCCUGGUUUGGAUUUCAAUCCUCAUCUGGAACAUUCUUUUUUCGGUCUGAUUCAGGAAGUGUUUGGUGAUAGUUGAUUAAAAUUAAACAGUACUAUCAUACAAAUAAAGCUGAUCUAAUUUUGGUGGGCAAUAUACCAACUCAUUUAUUCUUGAAAACACCAUGGGGAAUUGGAGGUCCAUCCGAAGUACUAUUUGAUGGGACUCACAAAAAGAACAGGUGCACAUUUAUGAGAUCCGUGGAAGAGAUAACUAUGACAGCUAUGCAUGUACAACAGAUUUAUGUCGAGUUCACCUCGUAGAUAUUUUGUUUUCAGUGUCGGUGGACCCCAAAAUGGAAAUCGGAAAUUAAGGUUAUAUUUAUUUUUUUAUUUAAUUUUAAAUAGAAUUUUAAUUUUUAAUAAUAUUAAGUAUUAAAUUAUUUUUUUAAGGGUAUUUUAUUUUUAUUAAGUAUUAAAAAGUAAAAAAAAUUAAUAUGUUGCUUUUUUAUUUUAAAAAAAUUAUAUAUUUUAAUUUUUUCUAUUUACUAAAAAGUUUAUAAUAAAUUAUAAAAAAAUAAAAAAAUAAAAAACUUAAAUUCUGAAAAUAAAUUAUUUUUAAUAAAAAAAUCCAAAAAAGCAAACACCACCUAAAUUUGAGAUGACUCAAAAUUUUAUAUUUUUUUUCACCUAAAUUAUAUUCAUAAAUUUAAAAUUAAAAAAUUAGGAAGUUGAAUUUUAUUUUGGAUAAUUGGAAACUACAAGAAAUCAAUAAAAAUAUUUGGAAAAAAAAGAAAAAGAAAAACUAUCUAUAUAUUCACCCCCUUCUAAGAAACAUAACUUUAGUUUUUAACUAUUUUUUAAAAUAAUUUUUGAAAAAUGUUAUAUAAUAUUUUAUAAAACAAAAAAUCUGUUUGACAAUUUGAUAUGUCUUUAACUUAUUUUUAAUAUUUAUAUAUAUAUAUUUUAAAAAUAAUUUUAUAUUUAGAACUUUAUCUUUAAUUAUUAUAUAUAUUUAUAUAAUUAUUUUUUUUAAAACAACUCUUAAAAAAUAAGUGAAAGUAAUUGAAAACAACUCAAAGAUAUUUGAUGAAAACACUCUAAUUUGUAUUUUUGAGAAUAAAAAAAUAAAUAAAUAAAUUUCUAGUUAUCAAAUGUAUUUUUUAAUUCUUUUAUUCUAAAAAAUAGAAAAUCGUUUUUGAAAAUAAUUAUUAAACAACAUUCUUAAAAAUUCACUCGUUACAAUCUAGAUUUAAUGCAAGAAUGAUUGAAGGAGUCCUCCAAUAGAACCCAAAGUUAUAAACAUGAACAAGAAGCCCUAGAAACACCAAAGAUCUCAUAUGGUAUAUAUAUGAGCUUGAUUGAGAACUGUUUUAAAUUCAGUUUUUUUUUUUUUUUUUUUUUUUUGUUUUCAAAGUCAAAACAAGUUUACUUUUAAUUUUUACUUCUUUUUUUUAAUUUUAUAAAUAACAGUUUUUUAAUAAUUUAUUUUGAAAACAUGAUUAUUUUUAAAACUUAUAAUGAAAAUAGGAAUUUUUUUUUUAAUAUCAUGGUUAUUUUCCCUUCUUUUAAGGAGGGCUAUUUUAAAAAUAAAUUUACAAAUAUGAAAAAUGAUUCAAACUAAAGCAGUACAAAUAAAAAACAUUUUUAAGAAAUAUUUAAAAAUAGAGAAAAUUAUUUGAGAACAUUUGAAGUCCUUAAAUAGACUUUUGUUUUAGAAAAGGCAAGAUAAUUAUUUUUGAAAAUUGUUUUCAUAAUGAUAUGCAAAAACCUACGUAAAAACCAUAAUUAUAAUCGGCCACAUAUCAAAUCUACUAAAUAUGAAAAGUAAGUACAUAAUUAUAUUUGACUUAGAUGCAAGGAGGAAAAUGUCGCGAUAUUAUCGCCGAAAUAUCGUGUGUCGAAGGGUAUCGACACGAUUUUUCUUGCAGAAAUAUCGGCCAGUCGAUUUUUCGGGAUAAAUCUCGAGAAAUCGGCAAUUUAUCGCGAUAUAUCGGCGAUUUUUCCUCGAUAUAUCUUCUGGUCAACGCGGGUCAACGGAGUCAACACGCUACAGUGAAAGUCAAAUGUGCUACAAUGUCCCCGCUACAAUCACCUCCCCAAACAAAUUGCCAAAUUGCUUCCGAGGGGAUUUGAACCAGCCUUCUUGCCAUUUGGGCUAACUCGCCCUUAUGAUAUAUAUUGCAUUAAACAUAUAUAUACUUAAAGUCCUUAUAUAAAGAAAAUGUUAAAAAAAUAUUUUAAAGAGCAAAUUAAUUAUAAUUAUUUUAUAAUUAAAAGCAAAAUUUUCUUUUAAUUAAUUACCAAAAAUAUAAAAAUUAUAUAAUUUUCUUCAUAAUGUUUUUAAUAUCAUUAAUAAUUAAUUAAAUAUUAAAAAAUUAUAUAUAUAUAUAUAUAUAUAUAUAUAUAUAUUAUAAUUUAUUUUAUAUUGUUUAAUACAAUUGAAUUAAAUGGAUCAUAUUUUAAUAUUAAUAUAUAUUUUAAAAUUAGACAUAUUGUAAUCAAAUAUCAUAAUAUUAUAUGUAAUUUAAUAAUAAAUGUACACUUAUAAAAUUCAUAUUUUUAUCGAUGCAUACAAUAUUAUUAUCAAAUAUGAUAAAUCAUGUUAUACAUAUAUCAAAAUUUUCAAUAAAAUAACUUUAAAAUGUCUAUUAUACUUCUAAUUAUAUUAUUAUGAGGUUUUCUUUACAUUUUCAUGAGUUUUAAACAAUUUUAAGCACCAAUAUUUUUUUCCAAAAUAUCCACCGAUAUAUCUCCGAUAUAUCCAAUAUAUCUCCGAUAUCUCCGAUAUAUCCGUAAAAUCGAAGUACCGAUAUAUCCGUGAUUACCGAUAUUUUCAUCAUUGCUUAGAUGCAACCUUCUUCCAAAUGACAUACUUUAGUCAAUACUUAUAUUUUUUCGUUUCACUUCUUUGAUACAACACCUCAUGGAUUUAUUGUUUAAUUUAUUUGUAAUUAUAAAACUAUUUUUCAUUUUUAAUAAGACUUGAAUUAAUUUAAUAAAUAUUAUAUAAUUUGAAUUUAUAAUUCUUUUUAUAAAAUCAAAGUAUAUUAAAAAAAAAACAAUUUAUCCGAAGAAAGUUUUUUAUUUUUUAUUUUUUAAAACCGAUUUUAAAAAUAACUAGCUAGACACCCUUAUUUUGAUAAAAUACGAAAUAAAAGUGUAAAAACAACAUGGCCAAAUAGGGGCUUAAAUUUUAUUUUUAAAACAUUUUUUUACACUAAAGUGCAUUUUAAAAACACCAUCAAAACCAACUACAAGUUAUGCUUCUUCCCGUAAUAGAAAUAUUUUAGGCCAAAAUAGAACCUCCCCAAAUAAAGACCCUAUACUAAACUCCUUUUCAUUUUAUUAAUACAAAAGUGGGGAAAAAAGGUCUAUGCUCACCUAAAAAACAUGAAUAUUGUGAAUUCACCAUUUCUAUAAGGAAGUUGAAAACUUCAAAAUUUUAUCAACAAAUUCUCUAAAAUCCUCAAAAUAUAUAGGGCCUGUUUCACAAAGUUUUUUAAAAUUUGUUUUUAUAAAUUGCUUUUAAAAUAUAGAAUAAAUAACAGUUUUUUAGAUUUUUUGAAAAAUAAGAGUGUUUGGUAAGAUGUUUUUUUUUUUUUUUUUUUUUUUAAGAAUUAAAUAAAAAAUAAAAAAAUUGUUUAGAUAAAAGAAUUUGUAUUGUUUUUAAAAACAAUGUCUUACUUUUAUGUUAUAAAAAUUUUAUUAAUUUAAUUUAUAAUAAUAUGAAAUGAAAUUCAAGUUAAGUCUUAUUAAAAAAUACAAAUUAAAUCUAUAAUUAUGCAUGAGUUAAAGAUAAAUAUAUAUUUUUUAAAACUAUAAAAUAAAUUUUCUAUUAUAGUGAAACAAAAAUUACUAUAAAAUAAAAAUAAUUUUAAUAUUCAUUUUUAAUACAAGUCAAAUAAGUACUUUAAUUAAUUUUUUUUAUCAUGAUUUCUUAUGUUUUUUUUUUUUUCUAGAAAUUAUUUUAAGUAAUAUAACUAAUUUUUUUUUUAAUGUUUUAUAAAAAUAAGGAUAUUUGGCAAGUUGUUUUUAUAAAAGGAUUUUAAAAAUAAAUGGAUUUUUUUUUUUUUUAAAAAAAGAACAAAAUGAUUUGUUUGAAUAAAUUGUUUUGAUUUUGUAAAAACAUUUUAAAUUCAAUUUAUAUAAUAUUAAUUAAUUAAAUUAAAUUGAAGUUUUAUUGAAAAUAAAAAUAAUUUUGUAAUUAAAAUUAGAUUAAAAAAUAUAUAGGUUUUAAUAAAUCGUAAAUAGUAAUAUUAUAAUAAAAUUAUAAAUUAUAUUUUUAACAUAAAAUAUACUAUUUAUUACAUAUUAAAAAAAAUAUUUUAUUAUAUUAAUAAUUUUAUGGUAUUAAUGAGUUUAUUAUUUAAGUUUUAAAUUAUUUUUAAAAAUUAAUAAAUUUGUUAACAAAUGCAAUGUACUAAAUGUGGUUUAAUUUGGAGUUAAUUUGUUUAGGGAAAAAAAUAAAAAAUAAAAAUCUUAUGUAAAAGAGAAAUAAUAGAGUGUGUGUGUUUUUUUUUAUUAUUUUUAAAAAUCAGUAAAAAGAACUUUUACUUAUUGCCUAAAAAUUAUUCUCUAUUUUAUUUUAUUUUUUAAAUCUAGAAAUAGAUAACAAUAAUAAAAAAAAUUAAAAAAGAAAAAUGUUUUUUAAAACUCAGACUUAUAAUUGCUUUUGUUUCUCAUUCGCACCCCUGGAUUCCUGGAUUCUAAACACAAAAUUAAGUUGAAUCGUCCAUCUAUCUUGUAAGCCAAGAAUUCACAUAGAAGAAAUAAUCGGAAUUUGAUUUGAUAUCAGAUUUAGAGUGGCUCACUACUCAUGCAUUGUCCCACAAUAGUAAUGCUUUGGGCCGAGAUAAACCCAUUUGUGGGCCCAAAUAAAACCCCUGGUUUGAAAACAUCGAUUUUACAGUGGCCCAAAAGAUUAUCUAUGAGGGGAAGAUAACUUGGAAGUCAAGCAAACACAUUUAUCGCUAACUUUUCUCUAAUUAUAAAAUUAUAACUUGGUCUUCUACACGUCUCACUUAAGAGGCGGAGCCACUUGGCACUACCUUUCCAUAUUGUAAAAGGAGAAGAAGCAGAAGGAGAAGAUUCUUAUGCCAUUCCACACACCAUGGCUAGUACUGCUAUGCUGCUUGGCCCGCCGGCUCUCCGCCAUCCUAAUUCUCCCGCCGGCACUGUCUUUGAAGAUGGGGUCAUUCUAACGGAUUCCCUGAUCGUCCGCACCAGUAAUCUGGAGCUUUCUGAAAAACCGCCACUGGAAUCCCUGGCGUAGUGCUCUGUCAGUGGGGAUAUUGCUAUGGAUUGUUUGGAUUCCCAAGCCCACAAUCUUCAUCUUCCCGGGAAACCGCCGAUGGGCUUAACGGAAAACAAGUCUCCGACCUUUUUGUCUUCCGGGAACCCGUGCUUGGACUUCUUCUUCCAUGUGGUUCCCGAUACGUCGUCUGAUGAUCUGAUCCGACGGUUUGAGUUGGCUUGGGAAUUCAAUCCGCUGACGACGUUAAAACUGAUAUGCAACUUGAGAGAGGUGAGAGGCACCGGAAAAUCUGACAAAGAGGGUUUCUACACGGCGGUUCUCUGGCUCCACGACCACCAUCCCAAAACCCUAGCCUGCAAUGCUAGGGUGUUGGCCAGCUUCGGUUAUUUCAAGGAUUUUCUCGAGAUUCUCUACCGGCUUCUGGAGGGCCCUAAAAUUCGAAGAAUCGAAAAGAAAGACUGGCUGGAUCGAAAAGGAAGGAAGAAAAAUUCCCGGAAAAGGAACUCAAUAUUCAAGCGAGAAAAUAGGCCUGGAGUUGAAUUUCCUGUAGAAGAGAAGGAUGUGGAGUAUAUGGUGGAAGAAUUUGUGGAUAAAGAAAAGGCUAGGGUACUGAGAAAGGAGAGAGAACUUGCUCUUGCCAAAAGAGCCCUGCACAAGUAUUCUACUGAUUCUAAUUAUCAGUUCUUACAUGAUCAGAUUUCAGAUUUAUUUGCUGAACUUCUGAAAUCUGAUAUUCAGUAUUUAAACUCCGGUGAGCUUUACAAGAUUAGUCUCGCAUCCAAAUGGUGUCCCACAAUUGAUUCUUCUUAUGAUAAAUCCACCUUGAUAUGUGAAAAUAUUGCUCGAAAGGUUUAUUCUCGCGAGGAAUAUAUAUCCAGAAUACCAAGGAAUUGAGGAGGCUCACUAUGUUAAUAGAGUCAGGGAUAGGUUGAGAAAACAAGUACUUGUUCCAUUACGUAAGGCCCUGGAGUUGCCAGAGGUUUUCAUGUGUUCGAACCAGUGGGGAUCACUUCCCUACAACCGUGUGGCUUCAGUGGCCAUGAAAUCAUACAAGAGCCUCUUCUCAAAACAUGAUACAGAGCGGUUUGGUGUGUAUCUUGAGAAAGUGCAAACUGGGAAGGCUAAGAUUGCAGCUGGUGCAUUACUUCCCCAUGAGAUUAUAGCUUCAUUGAAUGAGGAGGAUGGCGAGAAAGUUGCAGAGCUUCAGUGGGCGAGAAUGGUGGAAGAUUUAUCAAAGAAUGGGAGGCUCACAAAUUGCAGUGCGGUAUGUGACGUAUCAGGAAGUAUGAGUGGAACUCCAAUGAAGGUGUGUGUGGCUCUGGGGCUGUUAGUUUCAGAGCUCAGUGAAGAUCCAUGGAAAGGUAAUGUAAUUACUUUCAGUGCAAGUCCUGAGCUUCACAAGAUCCAAGGAGACAGCCUUGUAUCCAAGACUGAAUUUGUGAGGAUGAUGGAAUGGGGUGCGAACACUGAUUUUCAGAAAGUUUUUGACAGAAUCUUACAAGUAGCAGUGGAGGGAAAUCUGAGUGAAGAUCAAAUGAUAAAGAGGGUUUUCGUUUUCACUGAUAUGGAGUUUGAUGAAGCUUGUGGGAGGUAUAACUAUUGUGAAUAUGACUAUGAUAUGGAGGAAAUUGAUGAGAGUCAGAAGGCAUCUCAGAAGUGGGAGACAGAUUAUGAAGUGAUACAGCGGAAAUUCCAGGACAAAGGAUAUGGAAAAGUUCCGGAGAUAGUGUUUUGGAACCUUAGAAACUCAUCAGAGACUCCAGUGAUGGCCACAGAGAACGGGGUGGCCUUAGUAAGCGGGUUUUCGAAGAAUCUGUUAGACCUUGUUUUUGGAAGGAGGUGGAAUUCUGACCCCUCAGGAUGUGAUGGAAUUAGCCAUCUCUGGUGAAGAUUACAAGAAACUUGUUCUAUUUGAUUAAGAUAUCAAGAGAUUUAUCAAUAAUAAUAUGUUUUUUUUUUUCUAUGUGAAAUACAUGUAAUAUUAACUAUGGAGUUAUCAAAGUUCUGGAAAUUUAAUUAUUUCUUCUUUUCAAGUUUUGUUUGUCUUUGUUAGGAAUUCCCCUUGGGCGGACCCAGCUGGGGACUUGGAUUGAGGAAGUAAGGAGGCGAAAUUGUGUUCUUCUAUGGACAGAGAAAAAAGAUAAAAAUAAAAAAUAAAAAAGGAGGUUAUUUGCAUUUGGAUGUCAUGUGGUUUCAGGGUACAACUACAAGUUCGAAAUUGUACAUAAUGUGAAAAUUCCUGUGUGGAGAACAGCAUAAAUAUGUAUCUCAGUGUGUUUUGUUUGAGCUAAUUGGCAAAUUCGCUUUAAACAUGGUCACAUGGAUGCAUAUUUAUUUGUGAAAUGAUAGUAGUCGAUUACUUGGUCAGUAAGGUUUGUAUCUCUAACUCCAACAUCUUAUUGUAGUCUUUUAAAAUGUCAAAAGUUUAAUGCUAGCUUGAGAAAUUUUGGAAUGGAGACAUUCUAAACAAAGUUAAUAAUCCAUGAGACUUGGUAAAACCGAUCAGAUGAUGCUUACGUACAUGAAUGCCUUCUUUAAGCCGUAUCCUAUUUUCAUUGAAUGAGACGUGCCAUCUAGUUUUGUUCUUGUCUUGAUUGGAUCAUGAUCCCGGGAAUUGAUUACUGUUCUGAAUUUGCGAAUGUUCAAGGUAUUAGAGAAAGUUAAUAUUAUCGUUAAUUUACAUAUUAGUAUUUAUCUAGUUAUUAUAUAUUAGUUUGAAUUAUAAUAUAAUAUAGAAUUUGAAUCAAGUUUACUAUUAGUUUGAAUUACAAUAGGAAAUAAAGUUUGAAUUAUAGUAUAACUCAAAUAUAUUUGUAUAUAAAUAUCCAUCUUUAUCAAUGAGAAUAGUAAACCAUAUUUUUCUCUAUCUUCUUCUUUCUCUAUAUAUAUGGUAUCAAAGCCUCCAAAUCCUAAACCUAGUCUCAACUUAGAGCAAAUUUAGGGUGCAGGGUUUAGGCCCCGCCUCCCCCAACCCUUACCACAAAUGGUAGUGACCUUGUUAUGCCUAUGUAUUGUCAAUGCCUCAUUUUCUAUGGUCUUCAAUACAAUAUCUAGUUUCAAUGUCUCUUUCCUUACUAUCUCCAAUGCAAUAUAUUGAUUUCAAUAUCUCUUUACAACCAAGAGCUCCAAAUUUUCCUGGUUCAAAUCUACCAUAAUUUUUAUUCUCCUUUGCUUUUUACCAAUAUUAGUUCCCCUAAUUUAAUAUAUAUCUCUUUAUUACCUUCAACUCUACCUCUCUCUUUCUUUAAAAGCUUCCUCAAAGAUUUGAUUGCUUUCUUGCAUGUUUUGGGAAAACAAACAUGCUCAUAUUCUAUUACCUCUACUUGAGAUCUGCCUUAUACUCUACCUUCUUCUUUACCUCCUAUAUCAUCUACUACAUUAGCUUCAAAAACAUUAUUUAGUUUGAUGCUAAAUAAGGCUCCUAAUCCUACCCUUCCUUCAACUAACUUUCUUUUACAAGUCCCUCAAAGUUUUUUUUUUUUUUUUUUUGGAAAUUUGGCUUAGAAAGAUUUCAUUACUCUUACCUAAUCUUUCAACCAUCAAGUCGAAUCCACUUAUCUCUUGAAUCCAAGGAGACUACCCUCCACAAAAACAAGGAGAUUGACCCCCACAAUAACAAAGAGAUUGUCCUCCAUAGAAACAAAGAGAGCUUCCUUCAUGGAAGCCGAAUACAUCGCAAUCUAUUUUCUUUCUCUCAAGAUCAAAUCUCCAAUCGGAGCUCCAUCUUGUGGGGAUAUAUUAGAAAAAGUUAAUAUUAUCCUUAAUUUACAUAUUAGUAUUUAUCUAUAUUAUAUAUUGAAUUAGAAUAGAAUAUAGAAUUUGAAUUAAGUUUACUAUUAGUUUAAAUUACAAUAGGAAAUAGAGUUUGAAUUAUAGUAGAACUCAAAUAUAUUUAUAUAUAAAUAUCCAUCAUUAUCAAUGAGAAUAGUAUUCCAUAUUUUUCUCUUUCCCUGAGGCUUCAGAAUGUGAUCUUGAACAUUUGAUCUUUUGGAUUCUUCUUGUUUCGGUGGUUUAAUAUAAUGGAAUGUUUAAUUAUAGCCUACUUUAUCACCAUGGAUGUGCUCCUGCAGAUUUCUUGAGGGUGAUGGUUAUUUUGUCAUGUUUCUUGAAUGGUUUGCAUCAGCUGCCUGAGCUGUUGUUGCUGGUCACUUUUGCAACCAGGGAAAGAAUCAUGGCUUUGGAGAAGCCAGCUUCUGUUUUUGUUGCCCAGCUGUUAGUUCACUAAGAUUGGGGGUCCUAACAUGUAUGUAUAAUCAUAAGCAAGGAAAUUUUAUGUCUUACGCUAGAUAGGUACCAUGAUAUGAUGUUUGAUUGAUUUAUUAACUCUACCUGUUUCAAAAGGCAUCAACAUUAAUUUUACCCUUUUAACACAUUGGAUUGUUUGACCUUACGAGAUUUUCUAUUUCUGUACUAUUUGAACUGCAAUCGUUAUGGUCCUUAGGUCUCUAAACCUUCGUUUAAAAUAAAAGUAAGGAGCACACAUAGUAAAAGUUAAUUUUGGGUAACUUUUAAAACAAAGAGAAAAGUAAAAGUUGUUUUUGAGAAAAACAUAUAGAAAUUGAAAGAUUUUUUAUUUUGAGAAAAAAAAGUCAUAGAAAAGAAAUAAUAUCCCCAUAUAAGUAGAUAUGAUCUAUCCGAAGUGUAGCUACUCUCCUGGAUUUAUUCUAACAUUUUAAAAUUUUUCUCAAUGGGCAAAGGAAUAUCAAAUCAAGCUUGAGUAGGAUUAAUUUCUUAAUUUUUAAAAUAACUUAUAAUUAAAAUUUUUUGGUGUUUUCUUUUUUGGACAAUUUUUUAUGAAGACUCUGAAUCAUGCAAGAGAUAUGGUUAUUUUAAAAAAAAAAAUAAUUUAAAACUCAAAUACAUAAUCAAUGUCACAAAUUUAUAAACAAAAGGUUUUUAAAAAAUACUAUUAUUUCCCCUCUACACAUAAUUUUACUUUUCCGAUUUAUUUAUUUUUGUUGGAAAACAGUCUUCAAAUCAAGUAAAAUUAAUAUGUUAAAUUUGUUAAACAAAUAAAUUUUAAAAUACAAUUUGGAACUCAAAAAUCAAUUCAAGUAAUGCUAAAAUUCAAAAAAUCAAAUUUGGAAUAAAAUGACUUUGUAAAUUUUUUUACUAAACAAAUGAAUUUUAAAUCAAGUGAGAUUUAAUACAUUGGAUUUUUAUGAGAAUAGUAAUUUUAAAAAUUAAUUUGGAACUCAAAAAUAGACACAAUAAAUACCAAAAAUCAAUGAACCAAAAUUGGUUUGGAAUAACUCCAUAAUUUUUUAUUUAUUUAUAUAUUUAUUUUUUUGUGCACACGAAUUUCUUACUAAGCAUAUUGCUUCCAAAUUGAGAAAAAUUUACUAUUUAGAUUUUUUUAAUGAGUUUAAUGGUAUUUAAAAAUAAUUCAAAAAUUCGAAAAUUGACUAAUUUAAUAUUAUAAAUUCAUAAACCAAGACUAAUUCAAAAUGCAUUGGGGGCUAAGGGGGUUGAAAUUAAUGCUCCAUUUGGUUGUGGCCACCAAUUGGCAAUGGCCACCAAUCAACCAAUCAAGGUGGCUAAGGGGGUUGAAAAUAGGGACAAUGGGGUGGGUUUGGGACAGGACACUCAUAUCCCAUUCCCAUCCCAAUUACACAGUUAUUUCCCAUCCUUAUUCCAAACUUGUGUUGGGGCAAGUUGAUUUGUUCCCAUCUUUGUUAACGAAAUGACUAAUAACCUCAUCCUCUCCUUGUCUUAGAUGUACAUUUUCUCAAAUUUGGUCAGGUAUGAUUGAUUCAAGCCCUAACCUUAAUUGGUAAUGAGUGGAUACCACACCUAAUUGCAUUCUUCUUUCGUUGCAAAAUAAUGAGAUUAUAAUAAUCUAGCAAAUAAGAAAAAAUAGUAUGGAAGUUCAAAUUAACACCAUAACUAUCAAUAAUUUUAAGCUUAUAGAUGACUUAAAUGAUUGAAAACUAAUGCAAAAUACUAAAAAAAAAAAAAAUCAUCUAAAGAAUUCACAAGAGAAUAGAACGAACAAAACCAAAUAGGAACAUGGGUCAACAUUAGUUACAGAUUUUGAUCCCUUUCAAGGCCAAUCUUUGAACCAAGACUUCAUCAAAUCUACUACUUCAAAGGCUUUUGUGUUCUUCUUGAGUUGUACUCUGGAACAAAGACUUCGAGGUGAUGCUUUAGAUGAUUGCAUUACACAUAUUUAGGGUAGGGAGAUUGGAGAAGCUUGAAGAUGCCAACGAUGGGUACAAUUGAGUGGUCAAUAAGAACAAUGUGGCCUAUGACUAGUUUGAUGUCAUGGUAUAGGAGUUUUGGGCAUUGAGGUGAAAGCAAGAGCAACAUGGAAUUGAUUUCAAAGUCUUUCAAUUAGUGUAAAGGAGGAAGAAGAAGUGGUAUUGAUCCUAGAAAUAGUGUUUUAGGUGUUGCAUUAGAGGAAAAGAAAAAGAAAAAGAAGGAACCAUUGGAAUUAGUACGAGUGUGAAGAGAGAAGUGUAUACAUAAGGGGAAGUAAAAGCAAAGUUCUAAAAAUUUAUUUUUUUAUUGGUGGUGUAUGGUUGCAUGAUUAUCCCUAUAAAUAAUAGGAGUUUUUUGGUGUUCUACUAGUAGUUGAAGGAUAAUUUCAUAAGAUAAUAUUUAGAGCGGGGUGGGGUGAGUUGUGACAAAAUCCAUACCCGUCCCAAACAUUGGUUCAGGUUUUUAAAAUAUUUUCAAACUUAUCAUAUACCCAAUUUUAUAUUUCAUACUUGUCCUAAUAGAGACAGGUUAGUCAGGGUUACUUGAGUAGCCUACAAAACUAUCAUCCCUAGUUGAAAUGCUCUUUUUGGCAGUGGCAGCUAGAAGCUCGAUCGAUUGACCUACAAGACUAGUUGUCAUCAUUUUAAAAAGAGUUUUGGCUUUGGUUGUGAGUGCAAUUGAAUCUAAACUAACAUUUCCUUAAUGCAUCUACUUCAAUCCUAAACUUCUUACUUAAGCCUCAAUUGUUGUUAAGAUUUUGGAAAACCCAUUUCCUUAAAUUGUAAAUUUAAGAAAAAAAAAAUUAAAAGUGAGACAUUUCUUGAUUGAAUGUUGUUAAAGGUCCCUUGGAAUUAAGACUUGGUUGAAGCCUUGGAAGAUUAGCAGAACUCUCAACUUAUGUUUGAACCUUGAGGAGAGUGGACGUAGGCCAAAAUUUUGUCAAACCAUUAUACAAAUUGAGUUUGAAUUCUCAUUUCUUGAUUUCUUAUUUAUUUGCUUUUUCUUAUUAUUACUUGAAUUGUCAUUUGCAUUCAUUAAUGUUAAAAUUGGUUAUAAUUAGCCAACACUAAUUCUCUUUCCCCUUCCCUUAAUUUCUUGGGUGUAAACCUAGGUUGGAUUAACUAGAUUUUAUCAAAUCUAUUAAGAUGGUAAAAGAAUAAUUAUUCUUAACAUACAUAAGAUCAUCUUCAAUCAAAUGACUCAUUGGCUGAUAUGUUGAAUUUGCUUAUUACUUGCAACUCAAAAUUGUGUUCUAGUUGAUAUGUCAAGUCCUGAGUGUAUGGACAUUAAAUUUGUAGUACGUGAUGAGUAUUUAGAUGGUCCAAUUCCAAGAAAGUGAUUGAAAACUAGUUCAAGAAAGGUGCAAAAGGGAAUUGUUUUGGUAUUUUCGUUUUUAUUCUUGAAGGUGGCAGAGCUAAAAUUUGAGAAAUCAAGCAAAACAUACUGAAAUUACAUUGAAAGAAAGAAAAUGGGAGUUAAUGUCUUGCAGUACAUGAUAAGGACUUCAUGCAUGUAGUGUGACCCAUGUCUUGGACUGAUGCCACACUCACGGUUACACUUAUACCCUUAGUUCUCUCUUUACUACCUUAGCUAACCUAGAUCAGGUUAUGAGAUAGGCACCUCACCACACCAUUACUUGCCCAUUAAUUAGUGACAUUUUCAAGCAAUGAGGUAACAUGGUGACACCAAGAGGGUAUAUUCCUCACCCCCAACAAGCCUAGACCUGGUCUAAAAAAAAUGGAGAAAAAUGACGUGUUGUUAUGCAGAAAUAUAGCAACCAUGCCUUCCUCAUUACUUAGAUUCAGAAUGUGAAGGUGAAAUUGAGAAACAGAAACUCUUGAAACCAAAAUGAAAAUUGAUACUUUUACGAAGAAUUACAACAACAUUAGAGGAAGACUACAUUCUUCCUCUUUAUUCCUACAUUUCUACACUACUUCUACUCCACUCCAUAUUUCUACAUACAUCUUUAAUCAGUCUUCCCUCCUUUAUAUAGAGCCAUCUUCACACAAAUUCCGCAAGGUAGAAAAGAGGAAUGAAACUUGGAGCAAGGUUCGACUACUGGCUGUAGCUUGUCAAGGCUGAAAGUGAACUUUUUUUCUUGGCUUUUCUGGGCAUAGGUAGUAACUUGUAGGUUCCUUUUUGGAAUGAAAAUGGUACGGCUAGAACAUGUGGCACUCUCUUGUUGGAUGAUGUGUCAAGCAUGUGGCAGCCAUCUAGUGGAGAUUAUGUCAAUUUUGGGAUGGAGAGUUGGCAUCCAAUUGCAAAGAAAUAUGACAUCUACCAACAUGCAAUGUCAACCUAUGUAGAUCAUAUGAAGAUAGAGAGGAAAAAUAUAGAAAUGGAUAUAUAACUAGAACUAGCUUUUUAUUAAAUGAGACGGAGAGCCAACAAUGAAGGAAAAUCAAAAUUUUUGGCUCAUAUCAAAGAAUUCACAUUGUGUUACCCUAGGUUUUCUUAAAACUUACUUUUAUGAUAAUAAAAAAUCAUUAUUGUUUAAUCCUUUGUUUUAAACGCAUGUUUAGCAGGUUGUAAAAUGUAAAUAUCUUUCGAAAUUCAAAUAUGAAGAUAUGACAUCAUUUCAAGCAAUAUAGUCUCUAGGAAUUAAUGUAAAGCUAAAUUAAGGUGCAAUUAAGUUAGUUCAAUGCAUUAUUUUAAGAAACUUGACCUAUCAAAACCUUGUCUUACUUCAAAGCCUCUUUUUCUUUUCUUCCAACUAACAUUUUAAUAAGUGAUCGCAAAAGUACAAAAUUAGAUGAAAUCCAUUUCAAUGGUUAAAAUGAUCAAAUUCAAACUUUUUCUAAGUAUCUUUUAAAAGCAUCAAUAUUGAAAGACAAUUUUAUAUUUAGUCAAAGCUUGGACAGAGCCAAAAAGCACACAAAAAUUUAUAUUUUCUAGCUCUCUACCUUGGAUGGUCUCUUGAUCCUACUUGGAGAUGUGCAUAAAUAAAAGGAUUUGAAAAUGACAAUUGACUAAGUAUGUAGUCAAUCAAUUACUCAUUGAUUGACUAGUUGAUCAAUUAACUUUGCAACAUCAUAUGCAAUCCUAAUAGCUAGUCAUCUAAUCAACUAGGUAGUAAAUCAAUAGGCCAAAAAUAUGUUUAUAAUGACUAUUUUGUACAAAAACCACUUAUAUAGUUAAAUAUAAUGCAUUUCAUUUAUAAAUCUUCUAAUUCUUGAAUAACAAUCCUAUCAUCCUUUGAAAGUUUUUAUUACACCUUUUCUACAUUUGUUCUAAAACUUAUACAUCACCCUUAAUUGUACCAUGAGAACCUAGCAUUUUUUUUUUUUUUUUUGUAUUUCAUCAAAGUUAGCUCUUGUACUCAUUGUUGUAUUAUUUUUAUUGUAACUUAGAGAGCGAGUGUUUUCAAGUGAGUGAAAUUGACUUGUAAAUAUUGUAAAGAUUCAUUGAUAUGUAUCUCAAACUAGGUGUACAAGUUGAAACAUUUGCUAGUAGAUUUUCUCAAGAUUUAGAAUGAGCUUAAGGCUAUCGAAUUAGGUGGGGUUGCGCCAAACCAUAUCACAUCGUUGUUUGCACCUUUUUUUUCACUCUCUUUUACUUAGUUGCUCUAUAUAUAUUGUCUAGCAAUAUCCUAAAGGCUUGAUGGGCUAGGGAGCAUCCCUCUGAAUGAAAAAUUUUCAUUCAAUUCUUAGUUGUAUUACGCAUAUAUAAAAUGCCUCAUUGUUUUAAUGGUAUUCAGUCGUGGCACCACAGAUAUGGACAUCUAAAUUUUAAAAGUUUGAAACUUUUAGCUAAAGAAAAUAUGGUGCUUUGCCUUUUUGGAAAGCAUGUUGAUGAAAUCCAUGAGAAUUGUAUACUUGGAGAGCAACAUCGAGAUAACUUUUUUUUUUUCUUUUUUUAUAAUGCAUUGUUUGUCCAAAUUCCGUACAAAUUAGGCCACCACAUGUUCAUAAUUCUCCCUUCUUGAAUUUGAAAACUCGGACAAUUUGACAAUGCGACACCUAAGUCCGGUUUUUAAAUGCUAAAGUGAAAGGGCAGGUAUGGACCAUUGAAAUGUGAUAACAACUUUUGGCCUUUUCCUUUUCUCUGUAGCCAUGUUGUCUCUUUUUAAUUUCUUUUGCAUGAUUUUCUUACCUAAACAGAAUCAUAGACUUGUUUAAUCUCUAAGUGGGAUUUCAUCCACCUUAAGCUACUGUAUUAUAUCUCGGUGGAGGACAACCGACAUAGAGCACAUGCAAGUGGGUAUAUGGGACAUGAAAUAUCUUCUUAUAAAGCUUGUUUUGCAGUUAAAUUAAUUGGAUAAGUAGACACUGGCGUUUCUAAAUUUCCCACCUAAGAUAAUGACCUUAUCCUUGACUGCUAGAUACACAAACAAUUAUACCUUCAAAAUCUACUGUGAAGUGCUUCAUGUAUGUGUGAAGUAUUAGAAAUUUCUUUCUUGGCAACUUGUUUUUUUCUUUGCGGUCUACUGAUAGGUUUGACUAAAAUUAUAUUCCCUGUCCUGCUAAUUAAUUUUCACGUGCAUGCUCAAAAGAAGAGUAUGACCUUAGUGCACCAAAAUCACUUUCAAUAAUUUGUGAUAAGUUUUUUUGCAUGACAUUAACCUUAUUCAUUUAGAUAAUGUUUAGUUCUCAUAAAUAUUAAGAAAAUGAAAAUAAAUAUUAAGAAAAAUAUUCUUAUAUUUGAUUGUAUUAUGAAAAAUAUCAUAAAAAAUCAAAUAUAAUUAAAAUUAAUUAAUAAUUUAUAUAUUUUAAAAUUAUUUAAUUUUUAUAUUAAAGAUAUAAUAUAAAUGAAAUGAGUUUUAAGUAUUAUAUAAAAAUGAUUUAUUUAUUUAUUUAUAUAUAUAUAUAUAUAUAUAUUUAGUUUUUCUCUUUAUUUUAUUUUCCUUAUGUUUUCCUCACAUUUUCCGGAAUCAAAGAUAGGGAAAUCCACAAUUACCUUCAACUGAGUAGAUUCUAUUGUUUUAGCAAUGUUAGGCUGCUAACUUGUGGUGGUACGAACCAAAUGAUCCAUGUUAAUCUUGGCUUGAUUUAAUUUGGCUCUAUCUCAGAGAACUCAAGGAUCACGUCAACUCUGGUUUCUACUAUUCAGGUCCAUUCCCAGAUGAACUGGUUCAAAUUUGAGAAAAUGGUAACAGACCUUUAGUGAUAUUGGUUUGGAGCCAGUUGCCAAACCUGCCCUGAGCUUUACCACUAAUGUCAAGGGACAAAGCCAUUUGAACAAAAACAAUAGCUUCAAGAGACUGAAUCGUGGAUGAAAUCUGAUCCACAUUUCUUCUCAUUUUGGGAAAAAAUGAGGACUUAACCACAAAGAUUCUACUGCCUCAUAGUGCUUUUCCUGAUCUAAGGUUGGCUCGUUUCCCAAAUUGUGAGGUGCACGUGCCACUCUCACGCUCAGGAGUGUAUCCACGUGGUGGACAUAAGAUGGUGGCUUAAUAUCUGGUGUCGGUGGCUUUACUUUACUAGGAGAGUAGUGUGUCUUCAUCUCAUUCACUGCCAGAGGGUGGCGUAAGCAGUGACGCUAAGGUGGGGCACAGUCAAUAUCAUUUGCAUUUGACCAUUAUAAUUUUCUCCCGGCUUUAAAGUAACCUUAUCGUGAUAAUGGAUUACUAGCACUAGUUCAGAUGACAGUCAUGUUAAAUUCGGACCAUGUUUGUGUCACAUUAUCAGCAACCAUGUGCUUGUGGUUCAUGCUAUCUGCAACUAAACUUGAUAUAUAACCAGGUGAACUUCAAUCUAAAUUCUGGAAGUACUCAUGUGAUAGAUGGUGCCUGUCUGCAGUGAGUGUAUCUAUAAGAGGGAAGGCUUGGCAAAUGUUCAGUUUUCUGGGAAUUCAACAGGGAUCUAAAAUAGAUUGUUUUCUUUGCUGAUUUCAAUGGUUGAAAUUUGAGAAGAUUGUGUCCACAUAACACAACUAUUACUGGUCCUUCUGUUGCAAUUUAUCCUCUAAGGCUCUAACAUGUCUUCCAAUUCCCACUUCCCACUUCCCUGUUACUCCAGGAAAGCUGUUUCUGUCAUUGUGAAGAAGAAAAGAGACUGUACAUAUCGAUGCUUUUAAGUGGACUGGAGAAUUCAUAUCAGGUGGUCUGCAGCCAUACAUGCCACUUUGUGAAGGUUGGAACAGUCAAUCACUAGGCUAUAUUAGUGGGGCCCAGCCACUUCAAUCAAGGACAAGUCUUCAUACUUAAAGUCAAAUUCUGCCUUUAGUCUCAUUAUAAAUUGCUGUUUAAAUAUCAAGCAAACAUUUGUUUAAUGCGAUUAAGACAGCACUAACUCAAUACUUGUUCUAUUUUUGGAUGCAAAUGCUUGAUAGUUUCAUCAUUGGAGGGGAUAAAGGUGCAUUCAUGAUUAUGAAUACUUGUAGUUAUAUUUUCAUUCUCUUUUUUCUCAAUGGGACUUGUUGGCACAAUUUUGCUGUUCAGAAACCUACCUCUCCAUGGAAAAUCAGUUGUGAUUGAUAUUACUGGAUAUAUUCAAGAAAGCUAAAUGUAGAUAGCACAAAAUAUUAUCGACAUAAAUAGCAUUAACAGCGUACGUAUGUCUCAAUGCUCAUCAGCUAUAAGCAAGGGGCAAACACUUACUAUGAGCAACUUACGUCAAAAUUCCGGAAUAGGACAUAGAAGUGACAGGUCAGUAAAUAUAGAACACUGCAUAUGAGUCACAAGAAAGGAAAUUACGGGUACAUAGCAGCUCUUAUUUUACAUCCUACUCAUACUGAUCAAAGUCACUCAGUUGGGAUGGGUGGGAGUGGGAGGUUUGUGGGGUGGCUUGUGCGGAGGAGUUGGCAGCUUCUUUCCAGGACCUGGUUGCUUCUCUGCUGGAGUUGAAGGAGGCUUAAUCUUCCGAGGUGGCUUGUAUGAGUCUUCAGCAUUCUCAGCAGGAGGGUGACCAGGGUUGUGACCACAAUGUGGUGGCUUCUCUCCCUUAGGUGGUUUGCCAACUGGGGUUGGUGGCUUGUGUUCCGGAAGUGGCUUCUCUUUGUGUUCAGGAGGUGGCUUCUCCACUGGAGGCUUGUGUUCAGGAGGUGGCUUCUCCACCGGAGGCUUGUGUUCAGGAGGUGGCUUCUCCACCGGAGGCUUGUGUUCAGGAGGUGGCUUCUCCACCGGAGGCUUAUGCUCUGGUGGUGGCUUCUCCACCGGAGGCUUAUGCUCUGGUGGUGGCUUCUCCACCGGAGGCUUAUGCAAUGGUGGUGGCUUCUCCACCGGAGGCUUGUGUUCAGGAGGUGGCUUCUCUACCGGAGGCUUAUGCUCUGGUG